rnacentral:lncRNA from 1 species
GGGCUUAAGGCUUAAUUAGUUAAAAUUCACUACAAAAGAUUAGAUGGAAGGAUAUGAAAGACUAAAUGCAAUGGAUCGAGAGGGAUUUGUAAAUGACUGCUUGAAAGGAGACAUUUAUAAAUGCUUUUUUAUGUGUGUAAUGAUCAUGUAGUGCAUUUCAAAUAUCUAUAUCUAAUGUUUUGAUUUUUAACUAAAUGCAAUGCAUCGAGAGGGAUUUGUAGUUGAUUUUUAACUAAUGUACCUAAAUUUCUGGUUACUUUCAAAUCGCUCAUCCAAACACCGGGUGAGAGAACUAGGAAUUCUAGCAUACACAACUCACUGACAUAGGACAAUGCAAACCAAGGCAAAAAAAACAGAUCUGUCGACAUGAUAACAUUAAGUCACCUCAUCUCCACUAAAACGGCUUGCAAAGUCAUUAUGCGUGCAUUAUCAGAUUCCUUGCUUUUCUGUUUAUGGUAACCUCCGGGAAGACUAUGAAGACCGUGACCAAACAAUAUAUCCGCAUCGAAAAAUCCAAAAAGCACCAUAAGCUAAGCAUUUUUAAAAAUUCUGAAUAUAUGAGCACACGAAUUGCACGUGAUCCUGAACAGUGUGUCAAAACCUGUUUGCAAUGUCUACAUUAAACUCCAGAAAACAAUGCCCGUAUUGUAGGGUUCUGAUAGAACAACCUUGAAAUAACAAACGAGUCAGGCAGACUUCCAUACCGAGUGGAGAUAUAGAGCUCAUGGUUCAGAGUGAAGCCUUGCAUUGGUCCUUCAGAAACCCUGAAAUAAAGCUAAAAAAGGAAUCUUGUGACUUAAUGCUCUUUUCUUAAUUUAUUCAUAUUUGUCCAGCCAAUCAGAGUGGUAACUGGUAACCAGUUAGAACAUUGAUUCUAAGUUCCAAAUGCAGAAUAUCAAAGUCCUUUAUAUGAAUUAGAAACAAAGAGAAGAAUUCAGAGAGUUUUACCUUCACUGCUUUUCUCCAUCAAAUUGGGAAAAUCUUGAAUGUCCAUGUCAACUUGAGCUCAAUUCUUUUUCAUACGUCAUCUAGAAAAGAUAGUCCUGAUUCAAAGAUGCAGAAUUAUGAUUUAUAAAGUGAUCUUAAUUAAUUGUGCAAGUUUGACAAUCUGGACCAUUUCCUUAUGUUCUGAUUCAUGAAUAUAAUCCAUCAAUAAUGAUCAUGAAACAAGAACAGAAAAGGAAACGUAAGUUACACUCCGGUAUUCAACAACUUACGGUGAACUUUGUAAGUGCCGCAUCCAGCCAAAUUCACACGUUGUGUUUGUACAGAAACAUAUCAGCACCUAUUUAAAAAUGACAGAUGCGCUGAAAGAUGAGUAAGCAUUCCAACGUACUCAAACCACAACAUUAGGAGGAAAGAGAAACAUCAAGGAGUUACCUCGUCCCGUGCAGGAGAAUCAUAAUCGUGACCUAGCUAGCCAGAGCACCCAAUAACUUACUUGGUAUUGUAAGAAGUAGUUUAUGUAAGCAAACACUCGUUGCUCUUAGAUGAUAUUGUCCUGAAAUUUAAUUGAUUGAUUAAUUAAACACAGUAUAGCUGACAGUAAACAAUUGAAUGGGGUGUAUUCAAUUGAGAUUUUGAGGGAUUUUAAUUCUUUUAAUGAAUCUAGGGUAUUUAAUAAAGAUUUUAAAUGAUUCUCUGAAAUUCAAGGUGUAUUCAAUUAUAAUUUUAAGAUAGUUUAUUAAAAUCCUUAGAAAUCUAAAUAUAUUCAAUUAAGAUUUUAAAGAAGUUUAUAACAUUCAAGUGUAUUCAAUUAGAAAUUGAUUUUAAAGAAUUUGAGAAAGUUGAGGAAUUGGAGAGAAUUGGAGAGAUUUCGUAGUGUGUUUUAAGCAUCCACAAAUUUCACCUCUCCACAUGAGAUUUCGAGGGAAUUGAAUCAAAAUUUUAUAUGGAAUCUCUACAAAUCAAUUGAAUUCCAUAAAAAUCUAUGGAUUUAUAAAUCCAUUAAAAUCUCUCAAAUUAAUCUCAUGUGGAAUUAAAUCAAAAUUUUAUAUGGAAUCUCUACAAAUCAAUUGAAUUCCAUAAAAAUCUAUAGAUUUAUAAAUCCAUUAAAAUCUCUCAAAUUCUCAAUUGAAUACAACUUCGAAUUUCAAAGUGAAACUUUUAGAAAAUCUGAAUCUUCCACGAAAAAUGGUGCUAUGUACGUACCUGACUUUGAGUUGAGAUCUCAAAUGAUGACUUGGUCGCCUAUCUCGAUGCAAGGAAUGUGAGCUGUCUUGCUCCACUCUUCUCCCGUCUUCUCCUGACACCUAGGGGUGGGUUCAAAAAACCGAAAACCGAAAAAACGAAUCCAACCGACCGAAAACCGAACGAAUGGGUUGAAAAUGGAACAUGAUAGUUAUACCGAAAACAUUAAAAAAUUUUUUUAAUUUUUUUAACUCCGCCUCUGUCUUACAUGGCCGGUUCCAAGCCCGGAUAAAGGAGGAGGGGGAGGGCGUCAGGUAGUCGACAGCCGGCACUCCAUGAUCACGUCGAAUCCUUAUGAAAAUGAAUCCAGAACAAAAAUCGCGCUAAAGCUAGGGCGUCACCCGUAAGUGGCGCGCUGUGUGGCCCGAGCACAGUGAUAAGUGAGCAAGGGUCGCUGUAUCUCCAUCGGCACCCGGAUGCAGUGUUAAAUGAGCAAGGGGGCCAUAGAAACUUCUUUUCGAACGACUCCACUCAAAGUUGUUUGGGAGCAUAUGCUCCUAUCAACUUUACCCGGGACACACAAAAGAAGUACUUUGAUCCUAUUAGACGGGGGAGGGUGAAGAAGCUAGGACAGAAGGGUAGAGUUCAAGAGAGCAAAAUGCGUUUAGGAACGUGGAAUAUAGGAACCUUAACGGGAAAAUCUAUGGAAGUAGUGGAAGUUAUGGUGAGGAGAAGGAUAAAUAUUAUGUGCCUACAAGAAACUAAGUGGGUUGGUAGUAAGGCAAAGGAUCUAGAAAACUCAGGGUUUAAACUUUGGUAUUCGGGCACAAAUAGAACGAGAAACGGUGUUGGCAUCAUCGUGGACAAGACCUUGGUACAAAGAUGUUGUAGAUGUCAAGAGGGUAGGAGAUAGAAUCAUGGCAAUCAAGAUUGUAAUAGGACAAGAACUUAUCAAUGUGAUUAGUGCGUACGCACCUCAAGUAGGGUUGGAUACGAGUUCGAAGGAGAAAUUUUGGGAAGAUCCUUGGAGACUUGGUGCAAGGAAUUGCUCAGACGGAGAAGUUAUUUAUAGGAGGAGAUUUAAAUGGACACGUGGGCAGGGAGACAGGCAACUAUGGAGGUUUUCAUGGUGGCCAUGGUUUUGGGGAGAGAAACGAGGAUGGGGAAGCUAUCUUGGAUUUUGCAAUGGCAUAUGAUCUCUUCUUAGCCAACACCUUCUUUAAGAAGAGAGAAGAACAUGUGAUCACCUACAAGAGUGGGUCGUCAAAAAACACAAAUAGAUUUUCUUCUAAUGAGGAAAGGGGAUCGUAUAACUUGUAAGGAUUGCAAAGUUAUACCAGGAGAGAGCGUGGCUAAUCAACAUCGCUUGUUGGUGAUGGAUGUACAUAUCAAAAGAGUAAGACAAAAGAACAAGACUUGGAAGUGCCCAAGGACUAGAUGGUGGAAUCUAAAAGAAGAAAAACAAGCCAUUUUCAAAGAGAAGGUAAUCACCCAAUGUGUGUGGGAUAGAGAGGGGGAAGCUAGCCAAAUGUGGGAUUCCAUGGCUAGUUGUAUCCGAAAAGUAGCAAAAGAGGUAUUAGGAGAGUCCAAGGGCUUUGCCCCACACCAAAAGGAAUCUUGGUGGUGGAAUGAGGAGGUACAAACAAAGGUGAAGGCUAAGAAGGAAUGUUGUAAAGCCUUAUACAAGGAGAGGACCGAUGAAAAUGGUGAAAGGUAUAGAAAAGCGAAGCAAGAGGCGAAGAAAGCUGUCAGAGAAGCUAAGUUAGCGGCUUACGACGAUAUGUAUAAACGACUAGAUACCAAAGAAGGAGAGAGUUGGAUAUCUAUAAACUAGCUAGAGCAAGGGAAAAGAAGACAAGGGACCUAAACCAAGUGAGGUGCAUCAAGGAUGAGGAUGGAAAGGUUCUUGCUACAGAGAACGCGGUUAAAGACAGAUGGAGAGGUUAUUUUCAUAAUCUUUUCAAUGAAGGACAUGAAAGGAGUGCUUCUUUAGGGGAGUUGAGUAACUCAGAAGAGUGUAGAAACUACUCUUUUUAUCGUCGAAUCCGGAAGGAAGAAGUGGUUGUAGCUUUGAAGAAGAUGAAGCAUAAAAAAGCAAUAGGCCCAGACGAUAUAUACCAAUCGAAGUGUGGAAACUUUUGGGAGAGACAGGUAUAACAUGGCUCACUGACCUUUUCAAUAGGAUUUUGAAAACGAAGAAGAUGCCAAAUGAGUGGCGAACGAGCACUUUGGUGCCUAUCUACAAGAAUAAGGGCGACGUACAAAAUUGCAUGAACUAUAGGGGUAUUAAGCUAAUGAGUCAUACAAUGAAGCUCUGGGAGAGAGUCAUUGAGCAUAGAUUGAGGCAAGAGACACGGGUUUCGGACAACCAAUUCGGGUUCAUGCCAGGGCGCGCUCAACCAUGGAGGCAAUCUAUCUCUUACGAAGAUUGAUGGAAAGAUAUAGAGAUGGGAAAAAAGGAUUUACACAUGGUCUUUAUAGAUUUGGAAAAAGCGUAUGAUAGGGUCCCAAGAGACAUUCUUUGGAGGAUUUUAGAGAAGAAAGGAGUACGAGUAGCAUAUAUCCAAGCUAUAAAGGAUAUGUAUGAAGGAGCAAAGACUGCCGUAAGAACUCAUGAAGGACAAACCGAAAGCUUUCCCAUAACUGUAGGAUUACAUCAAGGCUCAUCCUUAAGUCCUUACCUUUUUGCGUUGGUAAUGGAUGAGUUAACAGGACAUAUUCAAGAUGAUAUUCCUUGGUGUAUGCUUUUCGCAGACGAUAUAGUGUUGAUAGAUGAAACUCAGGAAGGGGUAAAUGCAAAGCUUAACCUUUGGAGAGAAGUGUUGGAAUCUAAAGGUCUUCGCCUAAGCCGAUCAAAGACAGAAUAUAUGGAGUGCAAGUUCAGUGCAAAUGGAGGCCAAAACGAGUUAGGGGUGAGGAUCGGAGAUCAAGAAAUACCAAAGAGCGACCGUUUUCGUUACCUAGGAUCUAUCUUGCAAAAGAACGGAGAAUUAGAUGGAGAUCUCAACCAUAGAAUACAAGCUGGAUGGAUGAAGUGGAAGAGUGCAUCCGGCGUGUUGUGUGACCGCCGUAUGCCACUGAAGCUCAAGGGAAAAUUUUAUAGGACGGCAAUAAGGCCGGCGAUGCUGUAUGGCACAGAAUGUUGGGCGGUGAAACAUCAACACGUACACAAAAUGGGUGUAGCGGAGAUGAGGAUGCUUCGUUGGAUGUGUGGGCACACGAGAAAGGAUAAGAUUAGGAAUGAGGAUAUCCGGGGUAAAGUAGGAGUAGCCGAAAUUGAAGGAAAGAUGAGAGAAAAUCGGUUACGGUGGUUUGGACAUGUGCAAAGAAGGCCUACUGACGCUCCGAUUAGAAGAUGCGACUAUGGGACAGAGGUUCAGGGCCGAAGGGGUAGAGGAAGACCUAGGAAAACUUUGGAAGAGACUCUAAGAAAAGACUUAGAGUACUUGGAUCUAACGAAGGACAUGACACAGGAUCGAGCACAAUGGCGUUCUAAGAUUCAUAUAGCCGAUCCCACUCAGUGACUUGGAUUUUCCAAGUCUCCAACCGAGAAGUUUUCCUCACUCGGGAAAUUAAGGGAACACUACCCCAACCUACAUGCUCCACUCAGAAAGCUUCAACAUACAAGCUUCAACAAAAGAAAAUUCAAAGAACUUAGCGAAGAAGGCUUUGGUGUAUUUAACACAAUACGUUGAAAUGAAGGAAAGCUUAUUUAUUGAUAUCCCCGAUAAGCUACAAAUAUGUACAUAUACAUGAGUCAAAAUAAACACAACAAGAGGGAGCCUUCACAAAGGUUGCUUAGGAGAAGUCUCAGCAGUCGGUAGAGCCCCAGAAAGAGAAGGCACCGGAGGGGGAUCAUUUGGAGCCUCAGUACUGGACAGAACCCUAGAAGGAGGAGGCAUCAGAGGUUGAUCAUUUGGAGCUUCAUUACGCGGUACAGCCCCAGAAGACGAAGGCAAUAAAUGCCUUUGGAACAAACCCACAAAAUCUCUGAUGAUCAAGUAAAACCUGACCAUCAGUUUCCUUCAUCUGGUCAAGCUUCCUCUUCAUGUUUGUAGCAUAGUCAUGUGCGAGCCGGUGCAACUGUUUAUUCUCAUGCUUGAGCCCUCUAAUCUCCUGUUUGAGACUCAUCACUUCAGCCGCCAAUGAUUCAACUUGGCGGGUUCGAGCAAAUAGGCGUUGGGCCAUAUUAGACACAGAACCUGCACACUGAACACUGAGAGCCAGCGAAUCCUUAACAGCUAACUCAUCAGACCGUUUGGAAAGUAGUCUGUUAUCUUUGGGAGUGAGAAGGUUCCUGGCCACCACCGCAGCGGUCAUAUCAUUCUUCAUCACGGAAUCCCCAACGGUAAGAGGACCAGUAGGGGAGACGAAGGAUGGGCGCCAUAUGUUGUCUGGAGAAGGCGGGGCUGCCUCUUCAACAAGGUUCAAGUCAAAACGACGGUCGGAGGGGCCAGACAUUUUCAAAGGUGUUGAAGAGAGAAGAGGUCGGACAAAUCAAGAUCUUAGAAGUGCAAGAAUGAAGCUUCUACUGGUGGAGAUUCAAGUGUGCUUUGGAACUUAAUGCCAGCCCCUAUAAAAAUCUGCACUCGACGGAGCUUCAGAAAUCGAAGAGGCGCCUGCUCAGAAAUCGAAGAGGCGUUUGCUUUUCUCAAAAGCUGGGCUGCUUAGAGAUCACGAGGGUUGAUCUCAGAAAUCGAAGAGGCGUUUGCUUUUCUCAAAAGUUGGGCUGCUCAAAGACCACGAAGGCCGAUCUCAGAAAUCGAAGAGGCGCUCGCUUUCUCAAAAGCUGGGCUCCCAGAGACCACGAGGGCCGAUCUCAGAAAUCGAAGAGGCACCUACUUUUCCAGCCUUGUCAGCACCUGUCACACGCACACUCAGCUUUGCGGAAAUUAUGGGCAUUCUGUCGAAGACUUCUGGGGAAGUAGAAAACACAUGAAUCUUACUGUUCAAUCACCCACUUCCCACACGCAACAAUAGCUCAUGGGUACCACAGAUAACUUUGCCAAAGUUCUCUGCCAAAGUUGAGCACGUGAAGCUUGCAGCUCCCACUACAUCGCUCUGACCAAGAAGGGUAAAAGAAUAGCAAAGAAACAGCACUAACAAAGUUUAGACCCAUAAAUUUUGAAGGUCUAGCUACCAUAUUAUUACCCACAAGGGUAAAGGAACAGUACCACUGCUGGAUAAUUGGAAAGUCCCUGUGUGUCAACCUCUGUGCUUCGUGGCAAGGUAGACUAGCAAACAUGCCCAACCUUUACUCACAUUCGAGAAAACACUCCCAAUAAGAUUGCUUGCUCCAAAAUCGAAGAGGCACCGUCCUCCGAAUCUCGAGAGCCAGACUCCCAACAUGACUACUUUCUUAAAAAAUCGAAGAGAGGGUAAAGGAACAGUACCAUUGCUGGAUAAUUGGAAAGUCCCUGUGUGUCAACCUCUGUGCUUCGUGGCAAGGUAGACUAGCAAACAUGCCCAACCUUUACUCACAUUCGAGAAAAACACUCCCAACAAGAUUGCUUGCUCCAAAAUCGAAGAGGCACCGCCCUCCGAAUCUCGAGAGCCAGACUCCCAACAUGAUUACUUUCUCAAAAAUCGAAGAGACACUGCUCCCCGAAUCUUCGAGAGCCAGACCCCCAGCAUGAUUGCUUUCUCAAAAAUCGAUGAGGCAUCGUUCUCCGAAUCAAUCGAAGAGGCGCUCGCUUUCUCAAAAGCUGGGCUGCUCAGAGACCACGAGGGCCGAUCUCAGAAAUCGAAGAGGCACCUACUUUUCUAGCCUUGUCAGCACCUGUCACACGCACACUCAGCUUUGCAGAAAUUAUGGGCAUUCUGUCGAAGACUUCUGGUGAAGUAGAAAGCACAUGAAUCUUACUGUUCAAUCACCCACUUCCCACACGCAACAAUAGCUCAUGGGUACCACAGAUAACUUUGCCAAAGUUCUCUGCCAAAGUUGAGCACGUGAAGCUUGCAGCUCCCACUACAUCGCUCUGACCAAGAAAGGUAAAAGAAUAGCAAAGAAACAGCACUAACAAAAGUUUAGACACAUAAAUUUUGAAGGUCUAGCUACCAUAUUAUUACCCACAAGGGUAAAGGAACAGUACCACUGCUGGAUAAUUGGAAAGUCCCUGUGUGUCAACCUCUGUGCUUCGUGGCAAGGUAGACUAGCAAACAUGCCCAACCUUUACUCACAUUCGAGAAAACACUCCCAACAAGAUUGCUUGCUCCAAAAUCGAAGAGGCACCGUCCUCCGAAUCUCGAGAGCCAGACUCCCAACAUGACUACUUUCUCAAAAUCGAAGAGAGGGUAAAGGAACAGUACCAUUGCUGGAUAAUUGGAAAGUCCCUGUGUGUCAACCUUUGUGCUUCGUGGCAAGGUAGACUAGCAAACAUGCCCAACCUUUACUCACAUUCGAGACAACACUCCCAACAAGAUUGCUUGCUCCAAAAUCGAAGAGGCACCGCCCUCCGAAUCUCGAGAGCCAGACUCCCAACAUGAUUACUUCCUCAAAAAUCGAAGAGACACUGCUCUCCGAAUCUCGAGAGCCAGACCCCCAGCAUGAUUGCUUUCUCAAAAAUCGAAGAGGCAUCGUUCUCCGAAUCUCGAGAGCCAGAUACCACAGACCACUUUUUCAAAGUGCUCUGACAGAGUUAAAACAUGUGAAACUGGCAGCUCCCACUACCGUGCUAUGACCAAGCAGGGUAAAGGAAUAGCAUUACUACUUGUUGUUAGGGAGACUCCUAUAUAUGUCGACCUCCAUCCCCAACGGACAGGCAGACCUGCAAAAAUGCUCAACCCUUCAUCAUAUCUGAGAGGGCACUCCCAACGAAGCCUUUCGAAAUAUUCAGCUUUCUUUCCCCCCGAUAAUACCUCUGCAAACAAGCUAUACUAGAGCAAGAAUAUCUCAUAUCAUCAGGGUUAAAAGCAAGAGUAUCCCAUAUCAUGCUUUUUCCCUGUCUUUUCCUUUGGCCUUGUUUUUACCUGCAAGACAAGGAGAAAGAGAGCAAUCAGUCAGCACUUGGAAUCAAGCUUCCAGCCAGGAACUGACUGCCUGGAACCCCUUACCUGAUUACUUACCUGGCAUUGCUCUCGAGUACUCAUCUUCAACAUCUUAUGUUUCCAGGGAAGAUUCCGCAUCUGCUUGAGGAACAGAUAGGGCAAGUGCGAAGGAUACAAGGAAGCAUGUGGAGACAAGCGUAACAGCACACGUGCCGAUACAUCCAUUACUCUGUCAAAAGCAAAAGUAUCCCAUAUCAGCAGGGUGGAACGUACUCUAGAUUUGAUGGACUUGUUUUGACCCUCAAAUUCUUCAGUCGGCCUUAUACUCUGGAGGAAACCAGAAAACCCUCCAGCUCAGUUCAAGAAUAAGCCUGUGGAAAGUUACUUCUUCAAAAGCAAAAGUAUCUCAUAUCAUCUCUUCUCAUUUUUCUUCUCUUUAUCCUUCAUGCUGCUGCAAGAUGGGGAGAAGGUGAACAAUCAGUCCGGAGCUCUGAUUGCUUACCUUGUCUGUCACCUCUUUCAGCAGACCCCCUAGCUCGGCGACUUGGGGGACUCCUACUACAUGGUUUGUAUCGCGCUUGACCAAGCCUGAAACUACAAGUAAGCUUCAAGUGAAAUUGAUACAUUACCUUGUGCAUCUCCACCAGUUAAAGAUACCACCCCUGGAUGGAGGAAGAGUACUUCCAGAGAAGAUGCCACAUCUACCUAUGAGACAGAUAAGGCAAGUCAAGACGACACCACACUCCGAUACUUAGAAGUUUCGUGAUUACGAGAUCAUUCUCCCACAAUAUUUCCUAAUGUCAUUUGUACUAAAUCAUUCACUUGUACUCACUAAAGGAGAGCUUGAACCUAUGUACUUGUGUAAACCCUUCACAAUUAAUGAGAACUCUUCUAUUCCGUGGACGUAGCCAAUCUGGGUGAACCACGUACAUCUUGUGUUUGCUUUCCUAUCUCUAUCCAUUUAUAUACUUAUCCACACUAAUGACCGGAGCAAUCUAGCGAAGAUCACAAAAAGCGACCGUUUUCGCUACCUAGGAUCUAUCUUGCAAGAGAACGGAGAAUUAGAUGGAGAUCUCAACCAUAGAAUACGAGCUGGAUGGAUGAAGUGUAAGAGUGCAUCCGGCGUGUUGUGUGACCGUCGUAGGCCACUGAAGCUCAAGGGAAAAUUUUAUAGGACGGCAAUAAGGCCAGCGAUGUUGUAUGGCACAGAAUGUUGGGCGGUGAAGCAUCAACACGUACACAAAAUGGGUGUAGCGGAGAUGAGGAUGCUUCGUGGGAUGUGUGGGCACACGAGAAAGGAUAAGAUUGGGAAUGAGGAUAUCCGAGGUAAAGUAGGAGUAGCCGAAAUUGUAGGAAAGAUGAGAGAAAAUCGGCUCUGGUGAUUUGGACAUGUGCAAAGAAGGCCGACUGACGCUCCGGUUCGAAGAUGUGACUACGGGACAGAGGUUCAAUGCCGAAGGGGUACAGGAAGACCUAGGAAAACUUUGGAAGAGACUCUAAGAAAAGACUUAGAGUACUUGGAUCUAACGGAGGACAUGACACAAAAUCGAGCGCAAUGGCGUUCUAGGAUUCAUAUAGCCGACCCCAUUUAGUGGGAAAAGGUUUUGUUGUUGUAUUUGUUUUGGGUAUUAUUUUCUAAACCCAAUUUGUAAGUUAAAAUAUGCUAAACCCAAUGUGUUGCCAAACUUUAAGCUCAAAAUAUUAAAAAAAUGCCUAUAAAAACUCUAAACCCUAACCUAUUAUUUCUCCCCCAUAUAAGGUUACGGAACCAAACCUCCUCCUGAAGUACCUACAUCCAUCUCCAUAGCACUGUCUACUUCUGCCCCAGCUUUCUUUUCCAAAACUACUCUCAUAUAACAUGUAACAGAAUCCAUAAACAUUUAUUUCGGGUAGAUUACUUGGGUAAUUUGUUAUGGAAAAGAAUCCAACACAUACUAAAUAAAUCCACCCACGCAUUACUUUUACUAAUCAAGUUGUCAACAUGCAGUUACAAGCAAACAACCGUGAUCUUUGAACAACAUCGUAUAAUUUAACUUUUCUAAGUCAUUUGUACAAUUUUUAUGUUGUGAGGUUGUUAGUUUGGACUUUGGAAGACUUGAUUGAUGAUUUUAGUUCAACUUUAAAUGUUUAUUUUCAUUGUCUUUGAUUCUAGUUAGAAUGCUUAUGUUAUGAUUGUGUUGGAUAUGUUAAAAUUUAAAAUUUCAAUGUUUUUCAUUUUUUGAAAAAAAAAAAACAAAAAACCGAAACCGAACCGAAACCGAACCGGAAAAAACCGAACAAAAAAAAAUGAACCAAACCGAACCGAACCGAAAUUUCGGUUUGGUUUCGGUUUUGGCAAAAAACCGAACCGAUUUAAACCGAACCCACCCCUACUGACACCUCUUCACCAGAGGACUGCUGUCGAUGCUCAGAAAAGAGAACGAUGCCUGCAAACCCUCUUUUGGCAGGAAUUCGAGACUAUCACUUUGUUAUAUGUAAAAUGUACUCUUUUUUUUAAUGUGAAAUCUAUUUAUUUAUUUAUAAGGAACUUUAACGAAAAGUUCUUGUUCUCUUUAACGAAAAAUCAUAUUUUUACACCAAAAAGUCAAUCAUGGUAGUAUUCACUUUACCUGUUAUUUUGUCCUUAUAGUUAAAACUCAAAGUUUCCAAGUCAUUUUCAUUAGUUUUCCUUUAUUUAUAAUGUAUACAUAUUUUAUAAUAAAAUGUACCCUUUUUCAAUUUUUUUGAACAUUAUGGGUACAUCUGUUUGACAUUUAUUAUUUCAAAGUUAUAUUGUUACUUGUUUUUAUCUAUUUAUUCAAUUAAAUUUUAUGAGUAUUUUCUUUUUAUUGUAAUCGUUUUUAAUUUAUAUGGGAUUUUAAAUCCUAUAACAUGUUAAGUAGUUAAUAUCAAACAUAUGAAAAUACAUAUUAUUAGCAAUAAUGAGGUAUACAAAGUCAAUGAAUGAAUACCAUUAAGAUUUUUACCAAAAAAUAUUAAUGACUAGAGUCUGGAUCUAAAGUCUCCCUAUAAUUUAUAAAAAAUAUUAAAAAAUAUUUACAGAAAAAAAAAACAAAAAAAAAAAAAAAAAAAAACCCAAAACGUAUUUGCGCAAGUAACUCCAAUUGCUAGGACCCUAAAGUGCAAACCACAAAUCCAACUUUCAAGUAUCAAUCAUGUCAAAUGUCCCACCGAGCUACUCUUGGACAUUCUUUUGCCAACAGAAUCCUCGUCAGAUUUUUUGGUGAGGAUCUUGCAGAUUUAUGAAUCGUGUUCGUUCAUCGUAUAUCGUGUGAUCAAUGUCAUAAACUAUUUAUGUUUAAUUUUAAAUAAAUUUAUUUAAAAUGAUUUAUGACCUUAUAAUAUACGAUGAACGGCUCACAAAAAAGAUUCCACGAGAAUCCGGAUACUUUCUUUUGCACUCCAUAUCCCAAGGAUUUGAUACCAUGCAUGUUUGUUUAGCAAUCAUCGUAUACACCCAACUUUUUCUUUCUUUUUUAGCAACAACUAUAACGAAUGUGAUAUAAAAGCAUGAUGAAUCAUGAAAACGUUUUAUUAGGACAAGUACGAUAUUCAUUAGUACGAAAAUUGUGUAUAUGUCGAAGGAUAGGAUGCAUAUCAAUGGGCCUUAAUAAAAAUCUUGCUGGGAAUUUCAACCCGAUCGAAGGAAAAAGGAACGUCCUGUAUCAAUCAAAUUACAUAGUUGUGCUAUCCUAAAAAGAAGAAGAUAUGAAAUUACAUCUGGAGGUUCCUCAAACCAAAUAUGUUGAUGUUCUAAUGUCAAUCCCAAUUUUGCUAAUCUACGAGCCACUUUAUUUGCCUCCCUGCAAGAAUAAGAAAGUUUCGUGUGGGGAUAGAACACAUAAAAAAGCGGGCACCUUUCACAACGUGCCCCACUGAAGAAGGAUCAUCAGCCUCCUCCUCGCCCGUACUUGCUUGCCAGCUAAGCAAACAAUUAAUGCAUCAACAACCAGUUUCCAGAAUGGAUGGCCAUAAGGCUCUAUUCUAACAGCCUCACAUAUGUCCUUAAAAGUGCCACUUUUCCCAGUUUAUAUUAAACGAAACUCCUACUGAUUAGAAUUUGUACAUGAAGCACUACCUUGGUUCAGAGUUGUUAUCAAGAAAAUUUCUAUCAUAUGCUGCCUGCUCCAACCAUCCUUCACCAGAAGUAAGCUACGCCGUAUCAUCAAUUUCUCCAAAACAUCUUCUUCUAGAACAGUUAAUGAAUCAGAUGGUUGCCUCCGUGAUGGAUGACCCUGCAGUAUCCAGAUAAUAAUAAUCAAUUAUUAUUCAACCACAAAUAAAGUAACAGUUUGUUAGUCACUCAAAAUAGAAAUAGCACGUUAGAUCUCCCCAAUUUACACAGAGUGAACUUGAACUUAGUUAAAACUAGGAAAUAAACCCGCACGUUGUUGCGGGAAUCAACUGUUUCAGGCGUAACUGCAUGAAGAAGACACAUUUCAAGCGUAACUGCAUGAAUAAGACACAAAGUCAGCAAGUAAAGCUCAUAUUCUUAACAGUGUUAUUUUAACAACAAUUUUGAGUCCUACUGCAUUCUAUGUCCAAUAGGAAUUUAAUUGCUUUUCUAUACCAUGGAGUGGUGCCGAAAGAUUAUUUCUUGGAGUUACUGAUGAAAGAUCUGGAAAAUACUCAGUGGUGUUUUUUGCAAUAGGCGUGCAGCAACCAAAAGUAAGGUUAUAUUUCUAUCUAUUUAAAUGGCUGCCAUAUUGUUGUUUUUAUACAUGUCUACGGCGGGAUGGAUGAUGAUUACAACACGUUUAAGUUGAUGUCUUCUCAUAUUCGUGUAGAAGAAUCAUAUUUGCAACAUCGUUUGUCAUUCUUGAAGAAAGAGGAAAAUAUUAGUUUUAAAAAAGGGAAAAUUUAGUGCUCAGAGUUAUAUGUUGAUGGGAACCACUGAUGCAACAGGAACUCUAGAAAAGAAUAAAGUUUGUGUUCUUCUAUAUGUACAAUUUGUGGCAUUUUUUUUAAUCCCUCAUGUUACACAAUUAGUAGGAUGAAAGUGAAUGUUCAAGUACUUGUUUAAGUAGCUAACUUCCGAAGCAGAAAUAUUAAAAGCAAAAAAUAUGCAAAAAGGUUGUUCCCAUAAGAAACUGAAGAAACAGAAACAACAUGCAGUUAACACUUUGUUUGCUCCUGCAGUUAAGAUGGUUAAAUAUAUGUGUUGCAAGCUAGCCACUUGUUUUAGCAUUAAGAAAAAACAUUUCCGAAGCACAAAUGUUAAAAGAAAAAAAUAUGCAAAAGGGUUGUUCCCAUAAGAAACUGAAGAAACAGAAGCAAUAUGUAGUUGACAGUUCGUUUGCUUCCGCAGUUAAGAUGGUUAAAUAUAUGUCUUGCAAGCUAGCCACUUGUUUUAGCACUAACAAAAAACAUUAAAAAGUGUUUCGUUCUUGUUCCAGCACCUAAGUUUUUAAGCACAAAUUUUCAACCAAAAAAACAUGUAGCACAUCCUGUAGCACUCGAUGAUGAAGAUUGUGGGUGUUCACUUUUUUUGAGAUCGGACAUCUUCCACACUAUAGCAAAAAAACAUAAAUAAUAAUUUAGCAGACACUGCCAUCAUUGAUAUUAUGUAGAUGUGGGUGUGAAAAACAAAUUAUAAUUUACCUAUCUUUGGUUUUUUUGGCCUGAGUUUUUGUCUUGAGUGCGGCUAUCGGUACUUUGUCGGCCGGUUCAAUUUUGGGGACAACCAGAUUGUGGAAUUCUCUAGCAAUUCUUGCAGAAUUGGUUGUGUUUGUUUGCUGGGGGCGAGGUUUUUUGCUGUUAAUGAAGGUAAAUUUUAUAAGGUUAAAGAGAAACAUGAUAGCCAUGGAGAAGAGUGCGAAAGAGGUGCAAAAAGUUUUGUAGACAGUUUUUCAUGAUUGGCUAGAUUUACACUGAAGAGAAGCAAGUAUAGUUAUUAAGAUUGACACAUGACAACAUUUAUUGUCAGAAAAACUUUACCUGUCAGGUUUGUCCGUUUGAUCAGGGAACAAUACUCUCUUUGAAGUUAUGGCGGGUGCAACUGAUUUGGGUUGUUGAUCUGGUUGUUGGGAAGGUGUCAAUGGGGCGGGGGUUGCUUGACUGGUAAUUUGUUUGCCUAGACUGGUAGCGGGUGUUUGUGGUAUGACUGAGGCAAUUGUUGGGUUGGAGAGCGGUUGGUCUUCAACCAGUCCAUUAACGAUGAAGUCUGUUUUUGCAAAGUCGGUGUUUUGCUUUCCAAAAGAGAGUUGAAAUGUUUUUGAGUUGCCGACCAAAUUGUUAAGAAUUGGUGGCACCACGAAAGGGUCCUCGUGUCCGUUCUCUAUCACCAAAGUGUAGCAAGAAACGCCAAGCAUCUUUUCGGGUUGCCUUCCUAUCAUGAGGAAGUUGUGUUGGUUCGUGUUAUCUUCGACAAUCAGAUUGAUCUUGAACCUGUGCAAGAGGAGGAUAUUUUGUGUUAGACAAUCAUACAUUCUAAGCGAAAGUUGGUAACCAAAAUGGAGAGGUCCUACAAUAUCCAUUUCGUCACUGAACUUAUUGAAUUCAACAUACCAGUUAACAUUAAACUAAAGAAAGUAUGCUACAAUAUUUAAAAGCGGUCAUAAGACAAUAGCUGAGAAAACAGCCAUUCCUCCUAAGCGGUGUAAAUUUUAUUGACUUAUUACAUCAAAGCAGCAUUCACGUAUCAUCAUUAUGGUUGUUUUGGAAACUCUUAAGUUUCUUCUUUAAAGGUGGGAAAAACACUAUAGGUGUAGACUAUCCUAAACACAUUAUAGCAGGAAUAUUUACGAUAAUGUCACUAAUACACUCCCAAGGGUCAAACAGUAGUCAAAGUAUAAUGGAGAUGGAAACCACUGUAAAGUUAUUUGUAUGCACGCAUUUUAGAUCAUGAAUCAAAGACCAACAUAUGCAUGAGAGUGAAUGCAAAAAUAUAUGUUGGCUGAAGAAAGCUGUGUGCUCGUCACAUGUUCUACCUUCUCGUCGCAUAAAAUAUCAUAGAUAUAAAAGCAUUAUUAUGUGUGAAUUUGAUAAUCAUAAGAAUUCCAAAAAGGACUCAACAACUUAAUAUAACCGUUAGACGUAAAAUAGAUGCAAAAGAUUAUUACCAUGGUUCGGGUAAUUUGUUUAUCAAACCAUGUUCGUUGCACUGAAAUGAUCCAAACAUCUUCUUUACAACUUUAUGGCAGGAUGGGCAAGAGUUGUACCACCAACCUCUGGCCAAAUCGAAGUCAACAACAGUCGCUUUGCAUGUGAAACUUGCAUUCUGUUAUUGAAACAUAGGUUUUAAAAUGAUCAUCGACAUUUAAUCAUCACCUUGGAAACAUGGUGUAUAAACGAAUACACACUCUGUCAUACUUUUAAUAUCUUGGUUAUUGGAAGUUAUCAACAACAUAUUUGUGGACUGCUUGUUCACUUUGAUUGUUUCUCCUAUUCAUGUUAGUUAUUAUUCUAAAGCCUAUGUUUACAUAAAUAUUAAGCGUGAUAACCAUAAAGAAAAGGUAUCUGAUAGCUUAAUGAACUUUACAUGUUGCAUUUGACUUUUCUUUUGAGAUGUCUUAGGGGUAUCAUAUAUUCAUUAAUCAUUUAAGCAUCGCUUUGGAAACAUGGAGUAAAAACGAAUAGGCACUCUGUCAUACUUUUAAUAUCCUGGGUAUUGCACGUUGGCAACAGCAUAUUGGUGGACUGCUUGUUCAGUUUGAUUGUACUUCUCAUUCAUGUUAGUUAUUAUUCUAAAGCCUAUGCUUACAUAAAUAUUAAGCAUAAUAACCAUAAAGAAAAGGCAUCUAAUAGCUUAAUGAAUUUUACAUCUUAUAUUUGACUUUCCUUUUGAGAUAUCUUAGGGAUAUCAUAUCUUCAUUGAUCUUGAUAUUAAAUAAUUGAUUUCAUUCCGGGGCAUUAUAAUUGUUGGUGCGUUUUUUUUUGUAACAGUUUGAAUUUUUUGUAACAGGUUGGUAAUGAGAGACUAACCUUGUGCAACGUAGGAUCAAGUAAAAGCAACUCGUCUAUCGUUUUUGGUUCAGAAUCAGCACCAAUAACAUGCCUUGUAUACAUGUCAGUUGAGCUGGGCAAGAUCCGCAUAGGUGAUUUUAGAUGCUCAAACCUAUUUUUUGCAUGGUUUGGGUGAGAAAGAUUAAACUAAAAAAUAUAAAUGCAAAAGUUCUUAAAGAAGGGUUGUUUAUUUACCUGCGCUUGUAUUCAGAGAGUUGUGGAAUGUCCGGAUUGAAAACAUAAACGGUUGAUCCUGUGCUUCCAAGAACAGGCUUUCCUAUAGAUAAAAAGAGAAUAAUGAACAAAUUGAAACUUUAAGCAGCAGUUUAAUAAAGCAUGUCGGGGUAUGACCUUGGUAUUGUUUAACUUUGAGGCCUAUCAAAGCAACAAACACGGGUGGCAAUAACGAUUGUAUUCCAUUGUCCUCAAAAUUUGUCGCAGUCUCUCCCCAUAAGGUGAUCCUUACUGUUUCACCCCUGUAAAUAAUUAAGAAGGUGUCAGUCAGUUAUACGUUACGUCUACGGUGUCAUAUGUGAAAAUUGUAAUCAAAGUUUAACGCAUAUAGAAAUUACCUGAUAUUUUGGAGAUUAAGAUUUCUCUUCUUUGCAAUUCUUGUGCGUUGGAUGGUUACCUCUUCAAUCGGCUGCACAGCAGCUGUCAAGCAACCAAAUAUAUCUAUAGACGAUGUUCAUUAGCGAGAAUGAGUGUGCACCAAAGCCAACAAAAAAAUUAAAAUGAUUCUCAUAUUUUGGAGUGGCGCUGAAGAGUAAAUUUGUUACCUGUAAGUUCAACAUCCCUAUCGAUUUUUUCGUAAAGCUGCUCAAGCUCAAUUUAAUUGAACCAUUGCAUCGGGAUUUCCUGGCUUGUUUUGUCAAUAGGAACGAUUGUGGUUUUGCUAUUCAAUUCAAUUAUGGCAGCAUGAGGGACAACCUUGCUUGAUGUCCUGUUGUGAACAACACGAAAUUUGUUGAUUUCGUAUGCUUCGCCAACCCUUAGAUGGUUAAAAAAAUAUUGCAUGUCUCGACUGUUCAUGGUUGCAUGAACCGCAUCCCCCUUUCAGAAGAAGAAAAAUAAAAUCAGACAGUAUACUAAAUGAGCAGGAGAACAUUUAACGCAAAAGGUUAUGGAACCACGUAAGAAGUAAGCGUAGCAUAGUGGUACCUACAGAGAUAACAUGUAAGAUCAUAUGGAAGAUAAUAGAGAAGAUUACUUUAAGAAUGAAAUUCGCAGCAAUUGAAGCAACUUUGUAAAUAUAUAUUUAGUUUCAUUUGUACAGGUAGGAAAAAAGAAGAAAAUAAAUUAAGGAAAAGAAUAGUUGGUAGUUGAUACUCAGCUUCGUUUGUUCAGUUAAAAAAUCUUCCUCAAAAAUAACAAAAUAUAAUCUCUCUAGUGAAAUAUAAAGAGAGCCGAAUUGUGUAUGGUGCACCAUGAAUAUUUUUGUUAAUAAUGCAAUUUAUUUUAAGCCAUGCUAUUAUACGGAAAAAAAUGGAAUUUUGAUUUGUUGUCCACCUGCAUUAACUGGUUAAAUGCAGCCUCUAAAUGAAUGUCGAGGGCUAACAUUGAAUCUAGCAAAACAAUUCGCCAAAUAUUAAUUAUGCAGAAAUGAUGUAUAAUUGUGUAGAGGAUUUGGUUCACGAACUUUAAGAUAAGUUUGAUCACAAAAGUGUGUUGUAAUAAUUGUGUGCACAUUUUGAUACACGAAAAUAGUAGUGUUUGACGACAGGUUAAAAGGUGUAAGAAUCUUACUUGUUUAUCAACAAAUACACAAUCAAGACUUGUAGGUUGAGGAUCAUUUCCGAUGCUCUUCGUGACCCAUAUCCUACAAACCCUGAUCUGGAGUUUGUUUCCUGGUUGGUACGGCGUCAGAAAACUAAUUGGCAUCGCAUCCAUUAAUCUAGCAAAAGAUGAAAAAUUUAGAAGCAAAUUAAAUUCAACAUUGAAUAGGGUGAUUUAUGAAAGAAAUGGUGGAGCCAUGUUUACAAACAAAAAAAAUAACAAAGGGACAAAAUGUGAACAUAAACGUAUACCUGUAUGUAAAUGUUUCAAUACAUCUUUAUAAACAAUGUUUUUUGUAUAACCGUAAGGCAUGUCACUAUUGUGAGCAAUAACAAUUUUGAGACCCUUUUUUGAGGUGACCCUGGAUAGCGUAACAUAGAGUUGUCCAUGAGAAAAAACAGUCUGCGAUAGAAACAAACCAACCAUUUUCAAGGAUUGUCCUUGACUUUUGUUGAUUGUCAUUGCAUAACAAAUUUUUAGAGGGUAUUGUCGUAUUCGCACAGUAAAAGGAUAUUUAUGCUGAGAUGAUUCAGUAAUGAUCCUGGGGAUAUAAACUCUUUCGCCAAUGUUUCUUCCCGUCAUGAUUUUUGCUUGUACAACUUUGUCGUUCAAUUGUGUUACAACCAAUCGUGUUCCAUUACACAGCCCUUGACUUUGAUUUAAAUUUCUGAUCAACAUCACUGGGGCACCAACUUUCAAAGACAACUUGUGGUGCGGCAAACCAGGUAAAUCAAGUUGGUUUAGAAAUUCUAUUGGAUAAAGCAUAUCUAAAUUUUCAGAAUUUUCUGUUGCAGAAGACACCGAAUCAAAACUGAGAUAAGUACGACUUUCGCCAGGUACUAUACCCAACACAAAAUCGUUGAUUUCAGUUGCUGUAUCAUUUCGUGGCGUCACAAUAGCUCUUUCUUUCAGAUAUGAGACAUCUCGAAAAUUUGCUUUGAAAUUUGUAUACACAGCUGAAACCAUGGCUUUGAUGGGAUCGUCAUCAAAAUGGAUAAGGAAUUGGUUUGGAAAUUCGACCCAAGAGCUUUCUUCAUCAGCUGAAGAUAUAGAUCUGGCAACAGUACCAUUUCCAAUAUCUAGUAUCCACUUUGCAAAAUCAGCGAGUUCUUUUUUUUUCACUUCGUUCAGACCUGUUUUCGAAAGCCUCAUGUUUUGCUUAAGGAAAAAUAUAGUUAAAUAGGACCAAAGGUAUGAACUCGUAAAUGAAGCUUGGACGAUGUCAGCAACACUUCCGCUUGGAACAACAGGAAGAAUUUGCCUGAAAUCACCUCCGAAAAGAAUUGGUUUACCUCUAAAUGGCAAAUGGUCAAAGCCUGGUUUUGACCCUUUAAGAACAUCACGAAGAGAUCUAUCUAGAGUUUCAAAACACCGUUUAUGAUUCAUGGGGGCUUCAUCCCAAACAAUAAGAGUAGCGUCAGUGAUUAGUUUUGCAAGAUGAGUCCCUUUUUUAAUUUCACAAACCGAACAAUUAGUGAUGUUGAUAGGAAUUUUAAAUCUAAAGUGAGCCGUCCUUCCACCAGGAAGCAAGAGGGAGGCAAUUCCAGAUGAAGCCACAGCUAAAACAAUUUGAUUUUGGGAUCUAAUUCUAGUUAUGAUGGUGGUCCACAAAAAAGUCUUGCCUGUUCCACCAUGACCAUGCACAAAAAAUAGGCCAGAUCUAUUGUUGUCAAUCGUCUCCAUGACGCUGUCAUAAACUAAUUUUUGCUCCUUGUUUAAUUGGCCGAUCAGGAGUGAGUGCUCUUGUUUUAGUGAGUUAGCAUCAUAAUUUAACUCUUCUCUCAAACUCCUAGCUUUAAGUCUAUCCAUCAUUAGAUUAUUUGGUUGUGGUAGGUGAUGCUUUGAUAGAGAACUAUUUGAAGCUGUAAACAACUUUUCUAACUCGUACAAAAGCGAAUUUCUAAGUUCAUCCUGAUAUUUAGAAAGAUCUUGUAGCCCAAAAGCGUUAUGCAUGUUCUUGGAAAUGUCAUCGCACAUGGUUUUCCAAUGUGCUUCAAACAAAGCUGAUGGAUCAGUGACAUCACAAAAGAGCACCAACGUGACAAACAAUUGCCUCAAUUGGAAAGAUGAUGCAGUGAUAACUGCUUUUAACAUAGCGCUAUUCCAUUCCCUAUCAUCUCCCAAUAAACCAAGGGACAUGCAUGCAGCUUGGAAUGUGGGUUCAAGAACCUCUUUGACGGUUUUUAAAUGGUCAAAACUAAAGAUGCCUUUCUGGUAGUUUAGCAGCAACCUCAAAUAGUAUAAUUCACCAGCAGCAGGGUGAACAUACGCAACCCUACCUAAAGAUCUGCCUUGUUUUCUACGGCUCCAUUGUUUCUCAUCAUUUUUCCAAACAUACUUCGUCGGAAAUUCAACAUAAGAUAACUUACGUGCAUCAGGAUCUUGGACAUUGGUUUCAAACCAUUGCGUUAACAUUGUUCUUUCGAGAUUAGGGUGGUUGAUAACAUAGUUUAGAUCAUCGGUCUCUCUAAAAACAACGUUUUGGUCAGAUGGAAGGUGUACAGACAAUCUUUCAACCGAUGGUUCCCUAAAAUGAAUGUGAAACAGUAACAAUCUCCAAACAGCUUCGUAAGGGCAUAAAUAUCUACAAUUUAGAUAAGCCACAACCUCAUCAAACUUUUCAUCCUCAAAAACAGCUCUAGCCCGAUCAACACCUUUAGUUAUGUACUUAAAAAGAUACUUGAUGAGUGUUGAUUGGCAGCAUGAUUCAACAUUUAUAUGCGCUUGAUAAUUCAAUAAUAGCUCACGAUUAUAAGGGACAACAAAUGCGUUAUCAAGCUUGAUUCCUUUUUUUAGAACAAACAAAUUUUCUAUAUCCCGACGCUUAUAUGCAACGAAACCAUCAUCAGAAAAAGUGGUUUCACUUGUGAAAGGUUUUGGAAAUUUUUUUGAACAUUUGUUUUCUUUCAUGCAUGGUGAAAAUCGAUUUGCAAGACCACAUGGCCCAUGAAUCAUGUAUUGUGAAACUGCAUCGUACCCAACUUUGUCAACAUCUGCAUCAGGAAUCUCAACCGAAAUGAUAGAAUCAACAUCGUAGGGAGAAUGACAUUUAUAAUGUUUGUUCACCCAGACCAAGAUAUGACAAUGAGGAAGACCCCGUUUUUGGAACUCCACCGUGUAAAUCACUGUUUUUAAAUAGAGAAUGCAAAGACAUCAAAACAAAACACUCUAGAUAUGUAAUGAUUAGAUAGAUAAACAAAGAAAGGGAAAAUUUUGGCCAAGAGCGAUUAACUAACCUGAUUCGACAUCGCCAAAAGAUUUCCCUGAUUUGAUGAAUUUAAUCAUAUGGUUAAGCUUUGCUUUAAAAAUUCGGGAGACUAUAUCAGGCCUGUCUUCAGGCCUACAACCAGGUUUAUCACGUAGAUCUUCAAUAAUUUCAGGCCAUUUAGCAUUGCAGGUGAAAGUGAUAAAUAAAUCAGGAUUUCCAAAGUGACGGCAUAUGGCCAUCGCAUCCUGAUAAUUAUUUAUCAUAUAUCUAACGCUGCCAGUAAACAAAGUUGGCAAAAUGACUCUCUUGCCAACACCAGAACUGCUUGUAUUUCCUUCUUUGAGAGCUUCAUGAAUUGCUUUAAGAUUUUAUGUUCUAAAAGAAUCUUGAUUUGUCCUAAUAAAAUCUAACCUAUCUUCUUCAAGCGUGGCAUAUGCAUCAACUAAAUAUUGUUGAAACAAUCUACCACCUUUCAAUAGGGUGUCAUUUUGUCCUGGUCUAUCCUGAAUUUGAUAACCUAGAAACGCUCUCAGUGAUACUCCCCCAGUUUUUGGUUUUUUCCCUUUAUAAUCUGGAUUCCAAGGAAGGCCUUUCUUAUUCCCAUCUUCACCGUAGGGGAAAAGAAGAGGAUAUUGUAGUGCCAUGUACUUAGGAUGUAACUUUGUGAUUCUUUGUAGGCCAUGCGUCCUAUGCUCCACAAUGAUAUCUCUUUCAGUGUGGAAUUCGCCGAUAUCCCCAACAAUCAUCUCGUCACACGCCGGCAAAUUAUAUUGUGCAUCAUGGUUAGCCUGUGCACCGUAUAAACGCAUACGUAAAUGACUUGUGGACCCUUCAUCAAUCAUAUCUCUAGCGAGCCUAAAAAGCUUAACGACCUCAUUACAGUCGUCUAGCAUUUUAAUGAGGCUAUCAACAACAUGAUGGUCGAGUUUUUCAACCGUUUCUGAUCCACUAAAACAACCAAUACGAUUACUGACUUCAUUUUGAGUAUCAUGAAUGUAUAGUUGUGCAAAUUUAGGAUUUUCGCCCUCCAGAGGCAAUAAAGAACCCAUCAAAUGAUGCACUUGACUAUUAAUUUUAAAAACAUAAGGACCCCGACCCUUGUUGAUUGAUGCAUCGACUUUGGCUCCCAUUGAUGUUAAUACCAUCAUUGAAUUAUACGAUCUAAUAUUUGUUUUAAAUUGCAAGCUGUUUCGAGAAUUUUUGGGAUUCAACAAAUCAUCCAAAUAUGGAGGGGUGGGUUUAACGCGUGGGAAUUUUACUUUUUGACUCAUGCAACACGUGGUGAACUGCAAGGUAUAAGAUGAAGCAUUCUUGGCGGACUGUUCUGUAGACCAAAACAGAGCACCGCAAUAUUGACAUUGACAAUUUCUUAAGCCAAAAUCAACAUAUUCUGGAUCAAUCCCUAUAAAAACAAAGAUUAACAGAAGCAUUCAUCAAAUCGACAACCUUAAGUUAACUGAUGGAGGAAACUUAACUUUUGAAAUUAGUAAGAAUGAGAAUAGAGUUAUGUUGAAAGAUUGCGUACUUUUUCUUUUUUUUUGAUAGUUGGCUUGUCCGGUUAUCAGCGGGUUCAAGCCAGAAUGAUUGGUUUGAGCAUGAAUGGCUAACAAACUGUGCUCAUUGGCACGAUCAGCAAGGAAAACCGGUACAGAAAUCUGAUGAGAACUUGUCCCAGGUUCGAAAUGUGGGUUAAAAACACCACGCAUGGGAAUAUUUUGUUUUAAAGCUGAUGCAAAUGUUUGGGGAGGGCUGUCUUGGUUGUUCAAAGAUGUUGAAACAUCAUUAUCUUGAUCGUCGUAAGCGGUGGGAACAUCUUGCAACUCUGAAUUAUUGAGAUCACCAUCCGCAACAACCGCAUCCAAAUAGGCACGUUGAAUUUCAACGGCCCUUCUAGGUCGCCUUAUUCGUUUAGACAUAAAACUAUACAAAGGGGAAAAAAACAGAAACAGUAGCGCACUCUUUAAUAAAAGCAACACAUCAACGAAAGAACCAUCUAGACCAAAUGAAAUUAGCAGCGAGCUAUAACCCAUUAAAGCAAGAGGUGAUUGAAAACACAAAACACAUUCUAAACAUAACAGUAAAAACACAAUCAUAAUGAGAUUAGAUUAGAACAAAGAAUAGAGAAACUUAAUAUGCGGCUGUCUUCUUGAACAGCAUUGUUUCCCGUUGAAACGGUAAAAGGUAUGAAUAAAGCAUGCAACGAUUGCUAAAAAAAUAGCGAUAAAGAAGACCAACAUAAAGAUCAAACAACAAAGCAACCAUAAGGUCUCAAAAGAGCAAACAGAAAUGAAGAAGGUGAUGUUCCUUAAAGGUGCAGAAAUCUAACCGAUAUAGAGACGGGAUUGUAGCUGGGCACAAAUCCUACUGAGCAGUAAUGCAAGUUUGCAACGAUUAAAACAAAAGUUGUAGAACCUACAAAAAGGAAGAGAAAAUAUAAACGCAUAUAUAAUUGGAACGACGUAUGUUUUAAUACUUUAAAGAAAUUACAUGCAUCAAAAGCCUUUAGGUUAGCAAAAGUUUUUAGGUUAGCAAAAAAAAAAUGAAUUGCCUGAAAUAGAGACGAUCAGGAUUUAAAACGUUUAAAUUUUGUCCUAGGUUGACUAAUUAGAUGCAAAAGUGAGACAGCAUGAACAAUUUAACACCGAGAAAGACCAACAAUACUAAAGCACAAUCGAGCUAAUAAUAAAAAAAGCAUAUAAUGCAAAAGAAUAACAACAGGGCAAAACACUUUUGGUUGAUCUUACAACAGGCUAACGGGAUAAGAUAAAUCACCAGAUAUUGCAACCAUGACAAAGUCCGGAAGGCAAGAUAAUGGACUUUUGCUCUAGUUAAAAAAAUAUAUUAGCAUGUGUUACAAGCAAUGUAAUGUUGUGAUGUAGUUUCAUUCUUUUUCACAAAGCUCUCAAUUUGGACUCUCUUAUGAAAUGUUGAGUUUGAUACAAAUUAUUAAUGAUAGAAAUACUCUAGCAUGUUUUGAGUUUAAGCGCAUCACUUAACGAUGCCAGCUCAUCUAUAGAUUGACUAAUUGUAAUUAGCUUCAUGACGCAGUUUUUAUAUACUUACACGAAUAAAAACUGACAAAGCAUGUAAAAUCAAAUUGAUAGUAAAAGAAUUAGGUAAAUCCAUUCAACAACUACUAAUCAAAUUGUAAAAGUGAGAUAUGCGUUUUUCUAGGUUUAAUAAAAGCACCAAAGUAAAAGGUUUUUAUAUGCGUUAUGAGAAAAAUUCAUUACGGCACCAAAAAUCGUUGAUCAAAGCAAAGGCAAAAAAAGCAAGAGCCACACAAUUGAUGCUCUUCAUCAUCGUGGGGUAAAACUCUAGCUAAAGAACAUGCCGCACCUACUUGGGGGAUAGGCAAGGCAGGAGAAGAUACCACUCCAGCAUACGAACAAAUACCGCUAGAGAAGAUACCAUAUCUGUUUGGGGGAAAAGUGGAGAAGCCACCAUUUUUGCCUGGGAGGCAAAUAAAGCAAGUGAAAAUGAUACAUCAGCCGUGGUGAUUUUGAACAAUAUGCUCCAGGAUCAAAUGAUUCAGGUGUUGAAUCCUCGUAAAUGUUGAUAUGAGAUCCAUAGGCAUUUGAAUAGAACACUAAUGGGGCGGGUCGUGUGGAAUUAUGAUGUGUUUGUAGUACUAUUUACAAAUACAAUGACACUUAUAGACGCUCCUCCGGUUAUUUUUGAGUUCGUGUUGGUUUGUGUCCGUAGUGUGUAACGUAUGCAUUUAUAGUUUAAUCCAUAUAUUUUCACAUGCUGCUAUAUGCUCUGUUUUUAAUAAAAAAAUAAAUUUUAAAGAUGGAGACAUGCAACGCGAAACCUACAAUUAGAUCUGGAUCACAAAAUGGCAAAAAAAAAAAAGGGAGUUUUUAAUGAAAAGAGCUUGGUACUAUUCAUUCUUAACCAUAAGGACAUUUUAUGUAUGAAAAGUCUAUAAUAGAUCAAACUCUUCUCUUUAUUUACUCUUAUGCCAUUACAUGCGGACCACAACGAUGUUGACAUUUCUGUCUGGAAAUACAUUAUGAUGCUAUUCAUCUUAUGCUAAUUUACAGCUAGUUCUUCAGGCUUCCAUCAUGUUGUCGAUGUUAUGCAGCUCUUCUUCUGACAAAUUAUUCCAAUACUGUUCAUCGCAUUCUACUAGCUCUGCAUCUCUUUCUCUAUCUUCUUUCACCUUGUAAUAUAUUUUCCGCUGUUUCUUCUUUGAAAUUUUGGGCUUCCAAUAAGCUGAUGACUGAUUCUUGUCUUGCUGUAAAUAUACAUCUCUUCUUCUUCUGCUACUAGUACCAUAUCAUACCUAAAAUCUUCAAACUCAUCUAAAGCAAACAUUUGGAUCCCUCUAAAUUUUUAAAAUAUCUUUGUAUGAAGGAGUCCACCUAUGUGAGGAGAUAGGGUUUAGUCUAAAGGACUCUUCAUUGAUCAUGGCUAUAUGCCUAGCUUUCUCCUUAUGCAUGUGUACAUACCAAUCUGGAGGACUACUAAUAAAACUUAUGCAAAUUUCUUUCCACCUUUCUAAAUAGUCUCUGCUACUUUAAUAAGCUUUUCAGGAAAUGAUUCUAGUUUGAGAAAUACGGUUAAUAAAUAUUUUAUCGAGAUAACCAAACUCUAAUAGUAAGGCAGGGGUGACUUCUACCUCAUUAUGCUUUUUCUGAUGCUCAUAACUAAAAUGCCAUGAUUUAAAAUCUCUCAUGUCAAUCCUGGCCACAGCUACGCUAACUUCUGGUUUACAAAUACAAUUUCUCUGUACUAUCACAAAGACAUGGAGGAUACAUCUUUGUAAUAAUAUCCAUCCCUGGUUUUGGAUCAAAGAUGGACUGAUACAAGGCGCAUUGUUAAUGUAAUUGUAACUCUUUCAUGGACUGUGAUGCUCUGCUCAGGAUCUCAUUUUUGCAUAUCUGUUGGCAUUAUUCUUAGUUUUGCUUUUGAAAUUUCUUCUAAUAAAACAUCGUCUAAUAUUAAGUCUGAAGAUAUAUUUCUAAGAAAACUUUCAUAUUUUCUUGUUUUUCUUUGUCACUCAGAACCUGAUGCCUGAUCAUUACUUUAUGUUGCUCCAUUUCAACGUCUUCUUCUAAGAGCUCAAUCUUAAUUUCUUCUAUGGGUUCAUUAGCCUCUUGUUCUAUGAGUUCAAUAACCUCUUUCCUUUAUGCUGAUCAAUUUCUAAACCUAUUUUUAAUUCUCUUUUCAAGGUGUCACUUGCUUUUGCUGCAUUCUAAGAGAUUUGGAGUUCUUGGUUCAUUUUGGUAAACUUACCAGUAAUGACUCAUGGUCCCUAGAAAUGGCUUGAAGAUUGUGCUCAAGAGAAUAAAUAUGCUGCUGGUUUUGGUGGAAAUUAAAAUUAAAGCUAUCAAACUCUUGUUCCAAGGCUCUAAUUAAAUUUUUCAUGGCCUAAACCUCAUACUUGGCUGCUUAAUUUGGAUAUUUCCAGAAAUUAUCUAAGAGAACCUGCUGCCUAUCAGAAAGCCCCGGUACCCUUGACCUGUAUCUCAGAGUUGGAUUUUCUGAUUCCUUCAACAAUAUUGCCAUUAAAGUUGAACGUGGGUACUGUGGUGAUGCUGGUCUGCUCAUGCUAUUUUGAAAUCUACUGAAUGGUGGAGGUUGAUGGUGCAUCAUCAUGCCAUUGAAAGAAACUCUUCUGCUUGCGGCCUUGUGCUAUUUGCUGAUGAUGGUCCACGAUAUUCCAUACCUGUUCAACAAAUUAAUCUUGAUAAGAUAUCAGCUAAUGUAUUGUCAUUACCUUUUAUAUGUUCAAAAGAUUGGUUUAAAACCAUUCCUGUAAUUGAAUCAACAAAAUUAACCCAUCUUCGAGCUGCUGUUUAUUAGCAUGUAUCUUGUUAUAUGAGAAACUAUAUUUUGACAAUCUGUUCUAAUCGUAAAUACUCAUUAUGUAAAAAUAAAGAAAAUGUUUCAAGUGAAUUAAUUAUCCCUAAAAUUUUCUAAAUCUGUUGAUGGUAAUCUUGAUGUACAUCACUAAACUUUCCUGAGGAUAUCUACAAACUUGUUCGUCAGACUUUGGAGACUCCCUAUGCUUUUUCUGGUAUAUAUACCUGCCCAUCCUAAUGAUGAAGCAUCUGUUUCGACUAUCUUAUAACUAUCAUCUUAAUGUAAUGUUAAUGGCUUAAGUUUAGUAAUUUCUUAUUUAUUUUCUGAACUAAUUUAAUAUCUUCACUAUUAAAAUAUUUUUGUCCCGUUUUGCUAGUUUUACUAUGUAAUACUGCUAUUUUUCUUCCUAAAUCAGGGAUAAAAUUUCUUUGCAUAAUUUAGCAAUCCUAAAAAUGCUUGUAACUGUUUCUUAUCUUCUAAUUUGUUUGGAAAUUUCUAAUACCUUUUUAGCUAUAUGAUAUUGUAAUUGUAUCGUACCUGACUUGAUAUACAUUCCUAAAAAUUCUAUAUCUUGCUUUUCUAAUGCUAUUUUAUUUUUGCUAAUCACAAUCCCAUUAUUAAUAAAUUCUUGUAAAACUAUCUCUAAAUGCUUCCUAUGUUCAUUUCGAUUUUUUACUAUGUAUUAAAAUAUCAUCUACAUAAACACUACAAAAAUUAUCAUAUUUCUUGAAAAUUUUGAUCCAUCUUUCUUUGAAAGAUCGAUGGAGCAUUUUUAAGUCCAAAUGACAUAACAAGCCACUCAAAAUGUCCUUCUGGACAAGUAAAAGCUGUCCACCCAAUUGAUUCUUCUGCUAAUCGUAUUUGCCAAAAUCCUGAUUUACAAUCAAAUUUACUAAAAUUUUACUUUGUUGAAUUUUAUUUAUAAGUUUCAUCUUUAUUUGGUAACUUAUAACUAUCUUCAUAUGUAUUAUCAUUUAAUCUCUUAUAAUUAUAAACUAUUCUAGCCUUUUCUCUUUUUAGCUCUGAAUGUUUUCUUACUACAAAUGCUGCUGAUCUGUGUCUGGACUUAGAGGGUCUAAUUACUUUUAAAUUUAACAACUCUUUUAUUUGCUGCUCAAACUCUUGUAUCUAUUAGACUACAAGGCAUAUCAGCCGUCUUAAUGGUUAAAUCUGGGUUAAUUAUAUCUAAUUUUGCUAGUAUUUUAUUUUUACUCCAAGUAACUGUGGUCUUCUCCUAUAAUCCUAGUUUGUUCUGCUAAUUGUAACAAUUCUUCUAAACUCUUUGGUUUGUUUAACUGUAAGAUUUCUAUACGGGUUCCUUCAUCUAUAAUUGGAUAUUCGUGUUCAAAUAUUUCUUCAUCAAACUCAAACUCUUUUAGAUUAUUAUGCUCAUCAUUUUCUUUUGAAUUUUCCAAAUAAUAAUUGUCUUGACUACUAGAUUCUUCUAUACUUAUACUUUUGUAUGCUUCUAUGGUAUUACUUUGGUCAGUUAUUGUAAUUCCUCUUUUGAAAAAUGUUAUGCUAGGGUUCAUAAAUAAAAAACCUUGUAAACUUUUCAAAAAGUUUAAACCUGGAAUGAAUGGGUAUGAUCCUACUGGUGAGACAAUGUUAAUGGUAGGUUAAAUUGUUGAUUUUCCACUUUAAUGGACUCAUUAUUAAUGCAAUGUGUUAAAUAGACUGGUCUUUCAUCAAACUGCGUUAUUUUCACUGGUUUUGCUAAUUUUUGUCUAUACUUUUCUGGUACUAACUCCUCUCUUAUGACACUCUUAGUACUUCCUGUAUCUAUCAUAGCUGUUGUUUGUAUCUUAUGUUCUUUUGCCAAUUCUAUUUCACAAUUUAUGGUAAUUAAAGAACUAUUUUUUAGCUUUUCUAUACUAUAAACAGUAUUUCUUAAUAUUUCAAUACUUUCUUGUGAUUCUGCUGAAUUAAUUUCUAAUAACUUAUUAUUAUAACAAUUUUCACACAAUAUUGAAUAUGUAUUAUAGUAUUUAUUUGCAACUAAUUUACUACACUCAUGACAUUUUUCUGGCCAACCUAAAUUAAUGUAUUUAUAUUCUUCUUCAUGUUGUUCUUCUAUGAAGGCACGAUAUACUCUUCUAAAUCACUAUUGUGCUACUUGAAUCUUCUGAGUCGAAUCUAUCAUGUUUAAUACUCUCCAUACUAUAAAUACUCUCAUUAUCACUUAAAUUAUCUAAACUUAUAUUGACUGAAUAUCCUCAUCUUCUUCUACUUAAGUAACUCCAUCAAAUGUACUUUCUCUUUUGACUGUUUACCUAGUUUUGGACAUUAGGUCUAAUAUGUCCAGCUUCUCCACAUGAAUAACAUUUACAAUUACUCUUAUCUUUGGUGCUUAUAUUCUCUAAUCCAAGGUCUUCCACUUCUUUUUCUAAAUUGUUUUUGGAAUAUAUUUUUCUCUUCCUAUAUGUUUUGAAGGUCUUAUACUGAAAUUCUUAUACUUUUGUAGGUUUAUAUGACUUAUAUUUCUUUUUGUGUAUUUUCUUAUGUUAUUUUUUUAUGACAACCAUACUGUUGUGGUAAAUCUAUGUUUUACAACUCAUGUAAAAUUGUUUCCUAAUUUGUCUCUUAGCUUUUAUUUGACUACACUUUGUCUAAGUAUAUCGGUUACAUGUUGAAUCUAGGUCCUAUUGCAAUAUGCAUUUUUCUUUGAUGUUUUUUGCAUUCAUUCCAAAAUCUUAUGGUCAUUUUUGUCAUAUAAUAUCUAAUAAAUUAUUCACUAAUUCUACCUGUUCUACCUAAAUAUUUAAAGAAAUCAGUGGUAUAUUCAGCUAUAUAUUGUAAAUCACAAAUUUGUAAUUGUUCUAAAUUUUCUAAUUGCUCUUUUCUGGCUCUUGUUCACUUCUGUCAUCUAAUCUAUUAUGAUCUAAAAAUUCUUGUUUAAUCAAAGUAACAAAACCAUCAAUAUAUAAAAUGUGUUUUAGCUGCCUGAUGCUGUUCUGGAUUUUGGACUUUCCAUGACUGGAAAUAAUCAAAAUAAACCAUCUAAAGUAUGCUCAAAUAAUCUAGCAUAUUUUGUGAAUUACUAAUCUAACAUCAAUGCUGCAUGUAGCAAUUUUUUCCCAUCUUUCAAUUGUUCUCUCCCAAUCUUGUGGAUCACAUUGUCUAAUUUAAUAUAUUACCAGCUAUUUAAUUUGUUCUAACCUCUCAAAUAUGGAAUCCUAUUUUUUCUAGGUUUAUCAUGCUUUCUUCUAUGUGGUCUACUCUUGCUCCUUAUUAUAAUGUUCAUUUGUGGUCUCAAAAUUGUUGAUCAGUUCUAUUGCUUGUCCUGGAUUUACUCCUGAUGUACUACUUUCUUCGCUGGAUUACAUUCUUCUUUNNNNNNNNNNNNNNNNNNNNNNNNNNNNNNNNNNNNNNNNNNNNNNNNNNNNNNNNNNNNNNNNNNNNNNNNNNNNNNNNNNNNNNNNNNNNNNNNNNNNNNNNNNNNNNNNNNNNNNNNNNNNNNNNNNNNNNNNNNNNNNNNNNNNNNNNNNNNNNNNNNNNNNNNNNNNNNNNNNNNNNNNNNNNNNNNNNNNNNNNNNNNNNNNNNNNNNNNNNNNNNNNNNNNNNNNNNNNNNNNNNNNNNNNNNNNNNNNNNNNNNNNNNNNNNNNNNNNNNNNNNNNNNNNNNNNNNNNNNNNNNNNNNNNNNNNNNNNNNNNNNNNNNNNNNNNNNNNNNNNNNNNNNNNNNNNNNNNNNNNNNNNNNNNNNNNNNNNNNNNNNNNNNNNNNNNNNNNNNNNNNNNNNNNNNNNNNNNNNNNNNNNNNNNNNNNNNNNNNNNNNNNNNNNNNNNNNNNNNNNNNNNNNNNNNNNNNNNNNNNNNNNNNNNNNNNNNNNNNNNAAAUAUUAAGCGUGAUAACCAUAAAAGAAAAGGUAUCUGAUAGCUUAAUGAACUUUACAUGUUGCAUUUGACUUUUCUUUUGAGAUGUCUUAGGGGUAUCAUAUAUUCAUUAAUCAUUUAAGCAUCGCUUUGGAAACAUGGAGUAAAAACGAAUAGGCACUCUGUCAUACUUUUAAUAUCCUGGGUAUUGCACGUUGGCAACAGCAUAUUGGUGGACUGCUUGUUCAGUUUGAUUGUACUUCUCAUUCAUGUUAGUUUAUUAUUCUAAAGCCUAUGCUUACAUAAAUAUUAAGCAUAAUAACCAUAAAGAAAGGCAUCUAAUAGCUUAAUGAAUUUUACAUCUUAUAUUUGACUUUCCUUUUGAGAUAUCUUAGGGAUAUCAUAUCUUCAUUGAUCUUGAUAUUAAAUAAUUGAUUUCAUUCCGGGGCAUUAUAAUUGUUGGUGCGUUUUUUUUUGUAACAGUUUGAAUUUUUUGUAACAGGUUGGUAAUGAGAGACUAACCUUGUGCAACGUAGGAUCAAGUAAAAGCAACUCGUCUAUCGUUUUUGGUUCAGAAUCAGCACCAAUAACAUGCCUUGUAUACAUGUCAGUUGAGCUGGGCAAGAUCCGCAUAGGUGAUUUUAGAUGCUCAAACCUAUUUUUUGCAUGGUUUGGGUGAGAAAGAUUAAACUAAAAAAUAUAAAUGCAAAAGUUCUUAAAGAAGGGUUGUUUAUUUACCUGCGCUUGUAUUCAGAGAGUUGUGGAAUGUCCGGAUUGAAAACAUAAACGGUUGAUCCUGUGCUUCCAAGAACAGGCUUUCCUAUAGAUAAAAAGAGAAUAAUGAACAAAUUGAAACUUUAAGCAGUUUAAUAAAGCAUGUCGGGGUAUGACCUUGGUAUUGUUUAACUUUGAGGCCUAUCAAAGCAACAAACACGGGUGGCAAUAACGAUUGUAUUCCAUUGUCCUCAAAAUUUGUCGCAGUCUCUCCCCAUAAGGUGAUCCUUACUGUUUCACCCCUGUAAAUAAUUAAGAAGGUGUCAGUCAGUUAUACGUUACGUCUACGGUGUCAUAUGUGAAAAUUGUAAUCAAAGUUUAACGCAUAUAGAAAUUACCUGAUAUUUUGGAGAUUAAGAUUUCUCUUCUUUGCAAUUCUUGUGCGUUGGAUGGUUACCUCUUCAAUCGGCUGCACAGCUGUCAAGCAACCAAAUAUAUCUAUAGACGAUGUUCAUUAGCGAGAAUGAGUGUGCACCAAAGCCAACAAAAAAAUUAAAAUGAUUCUCAUAUUUUGGAGUGGCGCUGAAGAGUAAAUUUGUUACCUGUAAGUUCAACAUCCCUAUCGAUUUUUUCGUAAAGCUGCUCAAGCUCAAUUUAAUUGAACCAUUGCAUCGGGAUUUCCUGGCUUGUUUUGUCAAUAGGAACGAUUGUGGUUUUGCUAUUCAAUUCAAUUAUGGCAGCAUGAGGGACAACCUUGCUUGAUGUCCUGUUGUGAACAACACGAAAUUUGUUGAUUUCGUAUGCUUCGCCAACCCUUAGAUGGUUAAAAAAAUAUUGCAUGUCUCGACUGUUCAUGGUUGCAUGAACCGCAUCCCCCUUUCAGAAGAAGAAAAAUAAAAUCAGACAGUAUAUACUAAAUGAGCAGGAGAACAUUUAACGCAAAAGGUUAUGGAACCACGUAAGAAGUAAGCGUAGCAUAGUGGUACCUACAGAGAUAACAUGUAAGAUCAUAUGGAAGAUAAUAGAGAAGAUUACUUUAAGAAUGAAAUUCGCAGCAAUUGAAGCAACUUUGUAAAUAUAUAUUUAGUUUCAUUUGUACAGGUAGGAAAAAAGAAGAAAAUAAAUUAAGGAAAAGAAUAGUUGGUAGUUGAUACUCAGCUUCGUUUGUUCAGUUAAAAAAUCUUCCUCAAAAAUAACAAAAUAUAAUCUCUCUAGUGAAAUAUAAAGAGAGCCGAAUUGUGUAUGGUGCACCAUGAAUAUUUUUGUUAAUAAUGCAAUUUAUUUUAAGCCAUGCUAUUAUACGGAAAAAAAUGGAAUUUUGAUUUGUUGUCCACCUGCAUUAACUGGUUAAAUGCAGCCUCUAAAUGAAUGUCGAGGGCUAACAUUGAAUCUAGCAAAACAAUUCGCCAAAUAUUAAUUAUGCAGAAAUGAUGUAUAAUUGUGUAGAGGAUUUGGUUCACGAACUUUAAGAUAAGUUUGAUCACAAAAGUGUGUUGUAAUAAUUGUGUGCACAUUUUGAUACACGAAAAUAGUAGUGUUUGACGACAGGUUAAAAGGUGUAAGAAUCUUACUUGUUUAUCAACAAAUACACAAUCAAGACUUGUAGGUUGAGGAUCAUUUCCGAUGCUCUUCGUGACCCAUAUCCUACAAACCCUGAUCUGGAGUUUGUUUCCUGGUUGGUACGGCGUCAGAAAACUAAUUGGCAUCGCAUCCAUUAAUCUAGCAAAAGAUGAAAAAUUUAGAAGCAAAUUAAAUUCAACAUUGAAUAGGGUGAUUUAUGAAAGAAAUGGUGGAGCCAUGUUUACAAACAAAAAAAAAAUAACAAAGGGACAAAAAUGUGAACAUAAACGUAUACCUGUAUGUAAAUGUUUCAAUACAUCUUUAUAAACAAUGUUUUUUUGUAUAACCGUAAGGCAUGUCACUAUUGUGAGCAAUAACAAUUUUGAGACCCUUUUUUGAGGUGACCCUGGAUAGCGUAACAUAGAGUUGUCCAUGAGAAAAAACAGUCUGCGAUAGAAAACAAACCAACCAUUUUCAAGGAUUGUCCUUGACUUUUGUUGAUUGUCAUUGCAUAACAAAUUUUUAGAGGGUAUUGUCGUAUUCGCACAGUAAAAGGAUAUUUAUGCUGAGAUGAUUCAGUAAUGAUCCUGGGGAUAUAAACUCUUUCGCCAAUGUUUCUUCCCGUCAUGAUUUUUGCUUGUACAACUUUGUCGUUCAAUUGUGUUACAACCAAUCGUGUUCCAUUACACAGCCCUUGACUUUGAUUUAAAUUUCUGAUCAACAUCACUGGGGCACCAACUUUCAAAGACAACUUGUGGUGCGGCAAACCAGGUAAAUCAAGUUGGUUUAGAAAUUCUAUUGGAUAAAGCAUAUCUAAAUUUUCAGAAUUUUCUGUUGCAGAAGACACCGAAUCAAAACUGAGAUAAGUACGACUUUCGCCAGGUACUAUACCCAACACAAAAAAUCGUUGAUUUCAGUUGCUGUAUCAUUUCGUGGCGUCACAAUAGCUCUUUCUUUCAGAUAUGAGACAUCUCGAAAAUUUGCUUUGAAAUUUGUAUACACAGCUGAAACCAUGGCUUUGAUGGGAUCGUCAUCAAAAUGGAUAAGGAAUUGGUUUGGAAAUUCGACCCAAGAGCUUUCUUCAUCAGCUGAAGAUAUAGAUCUGGCAACAGUACCAUUUCCAAUAUCUAGUAUCCACUUUGCAAAAUCAGCGAGUUCUUUUUUUUUCACUUCGUUCAGACCUGUUUUCGAAAGCCUCAUGUUUUGCUUAAGGAAAAAUAUAGUUAAAUAGGACCAAAGGUAUGAACUCGUAAAUGAAGCUUGGACGAUGUCAGCAACACUUCCGCUUGGAACAACAGGAAGAAUUUGCCUGAAAUCACCUCCGAAAAGAAUUGGUUUACCUCUAAAUGGCAAAUGGUCAAAGCCUGGUUUUGACCCUUUAAGAACAUCACGAAGAGAUCUAUCUAGAGUUUUCAAAAACACCGUUUAUGAUUCAUGGGGGCUUCAUCCCAAACAAUAAGAGUAGCGUCAGUGAUUAGUUUUGCAAGAUGAGUCCCUUUUUUAAUUUCACAAACCGAACAAUUAGUGAUGUUGAUAGGAAUUUUAAAUCUAAAGUGAGCCGUCCUUCCACCAGGAAGCAAGAGGGAGGCAAUUCCAGAUGAAGCCACAGCUAAAACAAUUUGAUUUUGGGAUCUAAUUCUAGUUAUGAUGGUGGUCCACAAAAAAGUCUUGCCUGUUCCACCAUGACCAUGCACAAAAAAUAGGCCAGAUCUAUUGUUGUCAAUCGUCUCCAUGACGCUGUCAUAAACUAAUUUUUGCUCCUUGUUUAAUUGGCCGAUCAGGAGUGAGUGCUCUUGUUUUAGUGAGUUAGCAUCAUAAUUUAACUCUUCUCUCAAACUCCUAGCUUUAAGUCUAUCCAUCAUUAGAUUAUUUGGUUGUGGUAGGUGAUGCUUUGAUAGAGAACUAUUUGAAGCUGUAAACAACUUUUCUAACUCGUACAAAAGCGAAUUUCUAAGUUCAUCCUGAUAUUUAGAAAGAUCUUGUAGCCCAAAAGCGUUAUGCAUGUUCUUGGAAAUGUCAUCGCACAUGGUUUUCCAAUGUGCUUCAAACAAAGCUGAUGGAUCAGUGACAUCACAAAAGAGCACCAACGUGACAAACAAUUGCCUCAAUUGGAAAGAUGAUGCAGUGAUAACUGCUUUUAACAUAGCGCUAUUCCAUUCCCUAUCAUCUCCCAAUAAACCAAGGGACAUGCAUGCAGCUUGGAAUGUGGGUUCAAGAACCUCUUUGACGGUUUUUAAAUGGUCAAAACUAAAGAUGCCUUUCUGGUAGUUUAGCAGCAACCUCAAAUAGUAUAAUUCACCAGCAGCAGGGUGAACAUACGCAACCCUACCUAAAGAUCUGCCUUGUUUUUCUACGGCUCCAUUGUUUCUCAUCAUUUUUCCAAACAUACUUCGUCGGAAAUUCAACAUAAGAUAACUUACGUGCAUCAGGAUCUUGGACAUUGGUUUCAAACCAUUGCGUUAACAUUGUUCUUUCGAGAUUAGGGUGGUUGAUAACAUAGUUUAGAUCAUCGGUCUCUCUAAAAACAACGUUUUGGUCAGAUGGAAGGUGUACAGACAAUCUUUCAACCGAUGGUUCCCUAAAAUGAAUGUGAAACAGUAACAAUCUCCAAACAGCUUCGUAAGGGCAUAAAUAUCUACAAUUUAGAUAAGCCACAACCUCAUCAAACUUUUCAUCCUCAAAAACAGCUCUAGCCCGAUCAACACCUUUAGUUAUGUACUUAAAAAGAUACUUGAUGAGUGUUGAUUGGCAGCAUGAUUCAACAUUUAUAUGCGCUUGAUAAUUCAAUAAUAGCUCACGAUUAUAAGGGACAACAAAUGCGUUAUCAAGCUUGAUUCCUUUUUUUAGAACAAACAAAUUUUCUAUAUCCCGACGCUUAUAUGCAACGAAACCAUCAUCAGAAAAAGUGGUUUCACUUGUGAAAGGUUUUGGAAAUUUUUUUGAACAUUUGUUUUCUUUCAUGCAUGGUGAAAAUCGAUUUGCAAGACCACAUGGCCCAUGAAUCAUGUAUUGUGAAACUGCAUCGUACCCAACUUUGUCAACAUCUGCAUCAGGAAUCUCAACCGAAAUGAUAGAAUCAACAUCGUAGGGAGAAUGACAUUUAUAAUGUUUGUUCACCCAGACCAAGAUAUGACAAUGAGGAAGACCCCGUUUUUGGAACUCCACCGUGUAAAUCACUGUUUUUAAAUAGAGAAUGCAAAGACAUCAAAACAAAACACUCUAGAUAUGUAAUGAUUAGAUAGAUAAACAAAGAAAGGGAAAAUUUUGGCCAAGAGCGAUUAACUAACCUGAUUCGACAUCGCCAAAAGAUUUCCCUGAUUUGAUGAAUUUAAUCAUAUGGUUAAGCUUUGCUUUAAAAAUUCGGGAGACUAUAUCAGGCCUGUCUUCAGGCCUACAACCAGGUUUAUCACGUAGAUCUUCAAUAAUUUCAGGCCAUUUAGCAUUGCAGGUGAAAGUGAUAAAUAAAUCAGGAUUUCCAAAGUGACGGCAUAUGGCCAUCGCAUCCUGAUAAUUAUUUAUCAUAUAUCUAACGCUGCCAGUAAACAAAGUUGGCAAAAUGACUCUCUUGCCAACACCAGAACUGCUUGUAUUUCCUUCUUUGAGAGCUUCAUGAAUUGCUUUAAGAUUUUAUGUUCUAAAAGAAUCUUGAUUUGUCCUAAUAAAAUCUAACCUAUCUUCUUCAAGCGUGGCAUAUGCAUCAACUAAAUAUUGUUGAAAAUUGAAACAAUCUACCACCUUUCAAUAGGGUGUCAUUUUGUCCUGGUCUAUCCUGAAUUUGAUAACCUAGAAACGCUCUCAGUGAUACUCCCCCAGUUUUUGGUUUUUUCCCUUUAUAAUCUGGAUUCCAAGGAAGGCCUUUCUUAUUCCCAUCUUCACCGUAGGGGAAAAGAAGAGGAUAUUGUAGUGCCAUGUACUUAGGAUGUAACUUUGUGAUUCUUUGUAGGCCAUGCGUCCUAUGCUCCACAAUGAUAUCUCUUUCAGUGUGGAAUUCGCCGAUAUCCCCAACAAUCAUCUCGUCACACGCCGGCAAAUUAUAUUGUGCAUCAUGGUUAGCCUGUGCACCGUAUAAACGCAUACGUAAAUGACUUGUGGACCCUUCAUCAAUCAUAUCUCUAGCGAGCCUAAAAAGCUUAACGACCUCAUUACAGUCGUCUAGCAUUUUAAUGAGGCUAUCAACAACAUGAUGGUCGAGUUUUUCAACCGUUUCUGAUCCACUAAAACAACCAAUACGAUUACUGACUUCAUUUUUGAGUAUCAUGAAUGUAUAGUUGUGCAAAUUUAGGAUUUUCGCCCUCCAGAGGCAAUAAAGAACCCAUCAAAUGAUGCACUUGACUAUUAAUUUUAAAAACAUAAGGACCCCGACCCUUGUUGAUUGAUGCAUCGACUUUGGCUCCCAUUGAUGUUAAUACCAUCAUUGAAUUAUACGAUCUAAUAUUUGUUUUAAAUUGCAAGCUGUUUCGAGAAUUUUUGGGAUUCAACAAAUCAUCCAAAUAUGGAGGGGUGGGUUUAACGCGUGGGAAUUUUACUUUUUGACUCAUGCAACACGUGGUGAACUGCAAGGUAUAAGAUGAAGCAUUCUUGGCGGACUGUUCUGUAGACCAAAACAGAGCACCGCAAUAUUGACAUUGACAAUUUCUUAAGCCAAAAUCAACAUAUUCUGGAUCAAUCCCUAUAAAAACAAAGAUUAACAGAAGCAUUCAUCAAAUCGACAACCUUAAGUUAACUGAUGGAGGAAACUUAACUUUUGAAAUUAGUAAGAAUGAGAAUAGAGUUAUGUUGAAAGAUUGCGUACUUUUUCUUUUUUUUUGAUAGUUGGCUUGUCCGGUUAUCAGCGGGUUCAAGCCAGAAUGAUUGGUUUGAGCAUGAAUGGCUAACAAACUGUGCUCAUUGGCACGAUCAGCAAGGAAAACCGGUACAGAAAUCUGAUGAGAACUUGUCCCAGGUUCGAAAUGUGGGUUAAAAACACCACGCAUGGGAAUAUUUUGUUUUAAAGCUGAUGCAAAUGUUUGGGGAGGGCUGUCUUGGUUGUUCAAAGAUGUUGAAACAUCAUUAUCUUGAUCGUCGUAAGCGGUGGGAACAUCUUGCAACUCUGAAUUAUUGAGAUCACCAUCCGCAACAACCGCAUCCAAAUAGGCACGUUGAAUUUCAACGGCCCUUCUAGGUCGCCUUAUUCGUUUAGACAUAAAACUAUACAAAGGGGAAAAAAACAGAAACAGUAGCGCACUCUUUAAUAAAAGCAACACAUCAACGAAAGAACCAUCUAGACCAAAUGAAAUUAGCAGCGAGCUAUAACCCAUUAAAGCAAGAGGUGAUUGAAAACACAAACACAUUCUAAACAUAACAGUAAAAACACAAUCAUAAUGAGAUUAGAUUAGAACAAAGAAUAGAGAAACUUAAUAUGCGGCUGUCUUCUUGAACAGCAUUGUUUCCCGUUGAAACGGUAAAAGGUAUGAAUAAAGCAUGCAACGAUUGCUAAAAAAAUAGCGAUAAAGAAGACCAACAUAAAGAUCAAACAACAAAGCAACCAUAAGGUCUCAAAAGAGCAAACAGAAAUGAAGAAGGUGAUGUUCCUUAAAGGUGCAGAAAUCUAACCGAUAUAGAGACGGGAUUGUAGCUGGGCACAAAUCCUACUGAGCAGUAAUGCAAGUUUGCAACGAUUAAAACAAAAGUUGUAGAACCUACAAAAAGGAAGAGAAAAUAUAAACGCAUAUAUAAUUGGAACGACGUAUGUUUUAAUACUUUAAAGAAAUUACAUGCAUCAAAAGCCUUUAGGUUAGCAAAAGUUUUUAGGUUAGCAAAAAAAAAAUGAAUUGCCUGAAAUAGAGACGAUCAGGAUUUAAAACGUUUAAAUUUUGUCCUAGGUUGACUAAUUAGAUGCAAAAGUGAGACAGCAUGAACAAUUUAACACCGAGAAAGACCAACAAUACUAAAGCACAAUCGAGCUAAUAAUAAAAAAAGCAUAUAAUGCAAAAGAAUAACAACAGGGCAAAACACUUUUGGUUGAUCUUACAACAGGCUAACGGGAUAAGAUAAAUCACCAGAUAUUGCAACCAUGACAAAGUCCGGAAGGCAAGAUAAUGGACUUUUGCUCUAGUUAAAAAAAUAUUAGCAUGUGUUACAAGCAAUGUAAUGUUGUGAUGUAGUUUCAUUCUUUUUCACAAAGCUCUCAAUUUGGACUCUUAUGAAAUGUUGAGUUUGAUACAAAUUAUUAAUGAUAGAAAUACUCUAGCAUGUUUUGAGUUUAAGCGCAUCACUUAACGAUGCCAGCUCAUCUAUAGAUUGACUAAUUGUAAUUAGCUUCAUGACGCAGUUUUUAUAUACUUACACGAAUAAAAACUGACAAAGCAUGUAAAAUCAAAUUGAUAGUAAAAGAAUUAGGUAAAUCCAUUCAACAACUACUAAUCAAAUUGUAAAAGUGAGAUAUGCGUUUUUCUAGGUUUAAUAAAAGCACCAAAGUAAAAGGUUUUUAUAUGCGUUAUGAGAAAAAUUCAUUACGGCACCAAAAAUCGUUGAUCAAAGCAAAGGCAAAAAAAGCAAGAGCCACACAAUUGAUGCUCUUCAUCAUCGUGGGGUAAAACUCUAGCUAAAGAACAUGCCGCACCUACUUGGGGGAUAGGCAAGGCAGGAGAAGAUACCACUCCAGCAUACGAACAAAUACCGCUAGAGAAGAUACCAUAUCUGUUUGGGGGAAAAGUGGAGAAGCCACCAUUUUUGCCUGGGAGGCAAAUAAAGCAAGUGAAAAUGAUACAUCAGCCGUGGUGAUUUUGAACAAUAUGCUCCAGGAUCAAAUGAUUCAGGUGUUGAAUCCUCGUAAAUGUUGAUAUGAGAUCCAUAGGCAUUUGAAUAGAACACUAAUGGGGCGGGUCGUGUGGAAUUAUGAUGUGUUUGUAGUACUAUUUACAAAUACAAUGACACUUAUAGACGCUCCGGUUAUUUUUGAGUUCGUGUUGGUUUGUGUCCGUAGUGUGUAACGUAUGCAUUUAUAGUUUAAUCCAUAUAUUUUCACAUGCUGCUAUAUGCUCUGUUUUUAAUAAAAAAAUAAAUUUUAAAGAUGGAGACAUGCAACGCGAAACCUACAAUUAGAUCUGGAUCACAAAAUGGCAAAAAAAAAAAAGGGAGUUUUAAUGAAAAGAGCUUGGUACUAUUCAUUCUUAACCAUAAGGACAUUUUAUGUAUGAAAAGUCUAUAAUAGAUCAAACUCUUCUCUUUAUUUACUCUUAUGCCAUUACAUGCGGACCACAACGAUGUUGACAUUUCUGUCUGGAAAUACAUUAUGAUGCUAUUCAUCUUAUGCUAAUUUACAGCUAGUUCUUCAGGCUUCCAUCAUGUUGUCGAUGUUAUGCAGCUCUUCUUCUGACAAAUUAUUCCAAUACUGUUCAUCGCAUUCUACUAGCUCUGCAUCUCUUUCUCUAUCUUCUUUCACCUUGUAAUAUAUUUCCGCUGUUUCUUCUUUGAAAUUUUGGGGCUUCCAAUAAGGCUGAUGACUGAUUCUUGUCUUGCUGUAAAAAUAUACAUCUCUUCUUCUUCUGCUACUAGUACCAUAUCAUACCUAAAAUCUUCAAACUCAUCUAAAGCAAACAUUUGGAUCCCUCUAAAUUUAAAAUAUCUUUGUAUGAAGGAGUCCACCUAUGUGAGGAGAUAGGGUUUAGUCUAAAGGACUCUUCAUUGAUCAUGGCUAUAUGCCUAGCUUUCUCCUUAUGCAUGUGUACAUACCAAUCUGGAGGACUACUAAUAAAACUUAUGCAAAUUUCUUUCCACCUUUCUAAAUAGUCUUCUGCUACUUUAAUAAGCUUUUCAGGAAAUGAUUCUAGUUGAGAAAUACGGUUAAUAAAUAUUUUAUCGAGAUAACCAAACUCUAAUAGUAAGGCAGGGGUGACUUCUACCUCAUUAUGCUUUUUCUGAUGCUCAUAACUAAAAUGCCAUGAUUUAAAAUCUCUCAUGUCAAUCCUGGCCACAGCUACGCUAACUUCUGGUUUACAAAUACAAUUCUCUGUACUAUCACAAAGACAUGGAGGAUACAUCUUUGUAAUAAUAUCCAUCCCUGGUUUUGGAUCAAAGAUGGACUGAUACAAGGCGCAUUGUAAUGUAAAUUGUAACUCUUUCAUGGACUGUGAUGCUCUGCUCAGGAUCUCAUUUUGCAUAUCUGUUGGCAUUAUUCUUAGUUUUGCUUUUUGAAAUUUCUUCUAAUAAAACAUCGUCUAAUAUUAAGUCUGAAGAUAUAUUUCUAAGAAAACUUUCAUAUUUUUCUUGUUUUUCUUUGUCACUCAGAACCUGAUGCUGAUCAUUACUUUGAUGUUGCUCCAUUUCAACGUCUUCUUCUAAGAGCUCAAUCUUAAUUUCUUCUAUGGGUUCAUUAGCCUCUUGUUCUAUGAGUUCAAUAACCUCUUUUCCUUUAUGCUGAUCAAUUUCUAAACCUAUUUUUAAUUCUCUUUUCAAGGUGUCACUUGCCUUUUGCUGCAUUCUAAGAGAUUGGAGUUCUUGGUUCAUUUUGGUAAACUUACCAAGUAAUGACUCAUGGUCCCUAGAAAUGGCUUGAAGAUUGUGCUCAAGAGAAUAAAUAUGCUGCUGGUUUUGGUGGAAAUUAAAAUUAAAGCUAUCAAACUCUUGUUCCAAGGCUCUAAUUAAUUUUUCAUGGCCUAACCUCAUACUUGGCUGCUUAAUUUGGAUAUUCCAGAAAUUAUCUAAGAGAACCUGCUGCCUAUCAGAAAGCCCCGGUUACCCUUGACCUGUAUCUCAGAGUUGGAUUUCUGAUUCCUUCAACAAUAUUGCCAUUAAAGUUGAACGUGGGUACUGGUGGUGAUGCUGGUCUGCUCAUGCUAUUUUUGAAAAUCUACUGAAUGGUGGAGGUUGAUGGUGCAUCAUCAUCAUGCCAUUGAAAGAAACUCUUCUGCCUUGCGGCCUUGUGCUAUUUGCUGAUGAUGGUCCACGAUAUUCCAUACCUGUUCAACAAAUUAAUCUUGAUAAGAUAUCAGCUAAUGUAUUGUCAUUACCUUUUAUAUGUUCAAAAAUUGGUUUAAAACCAUUUCCUGUAAUUGAAUCAACAAAAUUAACCCAUCUUCGAGCUGCCUGUUUAUUAGCAUGUAUCUUGUUAUAAUGAGAAACUAUAUUUUGACAAUCUGUUCUAAUCGUAAAUACUUCAUUAUGUAAAAAUAAAGAAAAUGUUUCAAGUGAAUUAAUUAUCCCUAAAAUUUCUAAAUCUGUUGAUGGUAAUCUUGACUGUACAUCACUAAACUUUCCUGAGGAAUAUCUACAAACUUGUUCGUCAGACUUUGGAGACUCCCUAUGCUUUUUCUGGUAUAGUAUACCUGCCCAUCCUAAUGAUGAAGCAUCUGUUUCGACUAUCUUAUAACUAUCAUCUAAUGGUAAUGUUAAUGGCUUAAGUUUAGUAAUUUCUUAUUUUAUUUUCUGAACUAAUUUAAUAUCUUCACUAUUAAAAUAUUUUUGUCCCGUUUUGCUAGUUUUACUAUGUAAUACUGCUAUUUUUCUUCCUAAAUCAGGGAUAAAAUUUCUUGCAUAAUUUAGCAAUCCUAAAAAUGCUUGUAACUGUUUCUUAUCUUCUAAUUUGUUUGGAAAUUCUAAUACCUUUUUAGCUAUAUGAUAUUGUAAUUGUAUCGUACCUGACUUGAUAUACAUUCCUAAAAAUUCUAUAUCUUGCUUUUCUAAUGCUAUUUUAUUUUUUGCUAAUCACAAUCCCAUUAUUAAUAAAUUCUUGUAAAACUAUCUCUAAAUGCUUCCUAUGUUCAUUUCGAUUUUUUACUAUGUAUUAAAAUAUCAUCUACAUAAACACUACAAAAAUUAUCAUAUUUCUUGAAAAUUUGAUCCAUCUUUCUUUGAAAGAUCGAUGGAGCAUUUUUAAGUCCAAAUGACAUAACAAGCCACUCAAAAUGUCCUUCUGGACAAGUAAAAGCUGUCCACCCAAUUGAUUCUUCUGCUAAUCGUAUUUGCCAAAAAUCCUGAUUUACAAUCAAAUUUUACUAAAAUAUUUACUUUGUUGAAUUUUAUUUAUAAGUUCAUCUUUAUUUGGUAACUUAUAACUAUCUUCAUAUGUAUUAUCAUUUAAUCUCUUAUAAUUAUAAACUAUUCUAGCCUUUUCUCUUUUUAGCUCUGAAUGUUUUCUUACUACAAAUGCUGCUGAUCUGUGUCUGGACUUAGAGGGUCUAAUUACUUUUAAAUUUAACAACUCUUUUAUUUGCUGCUCAAACUCUUGUUUAUCUAUUAGACUACAAGGCAUAUCAGCCGUCUUAAUGGUUAAAUCUGGGUUAAUUAUAUCUAAUUUUGCUAGUAUUUUAUUUUUACUCCAAUGUAACUGUGGGUCUUCUCCUAUAAUCCUAGUUUGUUCUGCUAAUUGUAACAAUUCUUCUAAACUCUUUGGUUUGUUUAACUGUAAGAUUUCUAUACGGGUUCCUUCAUCUAUAAUUGGAUAUUCGUGUUCAAAUAUUUCUUCAUCAAACUCAAACUCUUUUAGAUUAUUAUGCUCAUCAUUUUCUUUUGAAUUUUCCAAAUAAUAAUUGUCUUGACUACUAGAUUCUUCUAUACUUAUACUUUUGUAUGCUUCUAUGGUAUUACUUUGGUCAGUUAUUGUAAUUCCUCUUUUGAAAAAUGUUAUGCUAGGGUUCAUAAAUAAAAAACCUUGUAAACUUUUCAAAAAGUUUAAACCUGGAAUGAAUGGGUAUGAUCCUACUGGUGAGACAAUGUUAAUGGUAGGUUAAAUUGUUGAUUUUCCACUUUAAUGGACUCAUUAUUAAUGCAAUGUGUUAAAUAGACUGGUCUUUCAUCAAACUGCGUUAUUUUCACUGGUUUUGCUAAUUUUUGUCUAUACUUUUCUGGUACUAACUCCUCUCUUAUGACACUCUUAGUACUUCCUGUAUCUAUCAUAGCUGUUGUUUGUAUCUUAUGUUCUUUUGCCAAUUCUAUUUCACAAUUUAUGGUAAUUAAAGAACUAUUUUUUAGCUUUUCUAUACUAUAAACAGUAUUUCUUAAUAUUUCAAUACUUUCUUGUGAUUCUGCUGAAUUAAUUUCUAAUAACUUAUUAUUAUAACAAUUUUCACACAAUAUUGAAUAUGUAUUAUAGUAUUUAUUUGCAACUAAUUUACUACACUCAUGACAUUUUUCUGGCCAACCUAAAUUAAUGUAUUUAUAUUCUUCUUCAUGUUGUUCUUCUAUGAAGGCACGCAUAUACUCUUCUAAAUCACUAUUUGUGCUACUUGAAUCUUCUGAGUCUGAAUCUAUCAUGUUAAUACUCUCCAUACUAUAAAUACUCUCAUUAUCACUUAAAUUAUCUAAACUGUAUAUUGACUGAAUAUCCUCAUCUUCUUCUAACUUAAGUAACUCCAUCAAAUGUACUUUCUCUUUUGACUGUUUACCUAGUUUUGGACAUUUAGGUCUAAUAUGUCCAGCUUCUCCACAUGAAUAACAUUUACAAUUACUCUUAUCUUUUGGUGCUUUAUAUUUUCUAAUCCAAGGUCUGCCACUUCUUUUUCUAAAUUGUUUUGGAAUAUAUUUUCUCUUCCUAUAUGUUCUUGAAGGUCUUAUACUGAAAUUCUUAUACUGUUUGUAGGGUUUAUAUGACUUAUAUUUCUUUUUUGUGUAUUUUCUUAUGCUUAUUUUUUCUUAUGACAACCAUACUGUUGUGGUAAAUCUAUGUUUUUUACAACUCAUGUAAAAUUGUUUCCUAAUUUGUCUCUUAGCUUUUAUUUGACUACACUCUUGUCUAAGUAUAUCGUAUACAUGUUUGAAUUCUAGGUCCUAUUGCAAUAUCAUUUUUCUUUGGAUGUUUUUGCCAUUCAUUCCAAAUCUUUUCUCCUAUUGGUCCUUUUAUUUUUGUCAUAUAAGUAUCUAAUAAAUUAAUAUCACUAAUUCUACCUGUUCUACCUAAAUAUUUAAAGAAAUCAGUGGUAUAUUCAGCUAUAUAUAUUGUAAAUCACAAAUUUGUAAUUGUUCUAAAUUUCUAAUUGCUCUUUUCUGCUCUUGUUCACUUCUGUCAUCUAAUCUAUUAUGAUCUAAAAAUUCUUGUUUAAUCAAAGUAACAAAACCAUCAAUAUUAAAAUGUGUUUUAGCUGCCUGAUGCUGUUCUGGAUUUUGGACUUUCCAUGACUGGAAAUAAUCAAAAAACUAAACCAUCUAAAGUAUGCUCAAAAUAAUCUAGCAUAUUUUGUGAAUUACUAAAAUCUAACAUCAAUGCUGCAUGUACGCAACCUUUUUUCCCAUCUUUCAAUUGUUCUCUCCCAAUCUUGUGGAUCUACAUUGUCUAAGUUUAAUAUAUUACCAGCUAUAUUAAUUUGUUCUAACCCUCUCAAAUAUGGAAUCCUAUUUUUUUUCUAGGUUUUAUCAUGCUUUCUUCUAUGUGGUCUACUCUUGCUCCUUCAUUAUAAUGUUCAUUUGUUUGGUCUCAAAAAUUGUUGAUCAGUUCUACUUGCUUGUCCUGGAUUUUCUACUCCUGAUGUACUACUUUCUUCUGCUGGAUUACAUUCUUCUUUUAAUUCUAAUAAAUUAUUAUAUUCUUUUGAUCCUAAAAUAUGUUCUACUCCUAUUUCUAAGAUUAAAUUUUUCAUCUCCUCAUCUGAAAUUUUAUGUAGUCCUAAAUCAUAUGUCUUAUAUUUUUCUAAAUACUUUUCUUCAUCUAAAUGAUCAAUAUCUUCUAUAAGCUUGUCUACAAUAUGAUCAAAGUUUUGCUCAACUAAAUUAAUAUCUAGAUUAUCAAAAGCCAUAUGUAUAUUCUCAUUUUCGAUUUCACUCUCAUCCUCUUCUAUUUUUUCUAGUUGUUUAUAAUUACUAAACCUAAUUGUUGCUUGACCUGUACUAGUUUCAUAUAUUUGUACUUUAUCUGGUUGUCUAUUUUGUGCUACUUGUAAAUUGGGCAAUGUCCACUGAGUUCCUUCUAAAAAGCUAUUAUCUACGGGUUUUGCUUCUAUCAUAUUUACAUGCUUACUGCCAAAUGUUUGAACUAAAUUUUGAAACUCUAAAUUAAACUUAUGAUUAUAUCUAUCAGACACUUUACCUAUAUACAUUAAGCUAAUACACAAAUUUUUAUAUUCUCCUUUCAUAUUAUAAUUUUUUGUUCUUAUGCUCACUUUAAUAUAUUUACUAAAUUCAUUAAUCGUCAUAACAUAAUUUGGAAUGCAACCUAUGACUGCUAAGUUUGAACUUAAGUCUACUUCAGCUGUUGCUAUUGCUGCUUGUUGGUGAUUAUCUCAUCUAUCAUCAUAUAUGUAUACUAAAGCCUUUGUACCUACUUGUGCUCUGGUUAAUCCUGCUAUUCCAAUUAAUAUUGUUCCUAUAUGAAUCUGACUAAAAUGUGAUUUUCUCAAAUGAGUAACUGCUUCUUUACUAAUUAGAUUAAGUGUGACUUCUUUAUCAAUACAACUAACUUCAUGUUGACUGAUGCUGCUUACAAUUCUACUUCUGUUUUCAAAUAAACCUAGUUGAUACAAGUUAUAUUUAUUUUUCUGUGUUCUCUCAAAACCUCUUCGAAUAAAUUCUUGUGCUUCUUCUUCAUUUGGAUAAAUAUCUUCCGCUCUAACUACUUCUUUUCCUUUUUUCCUAAAGAGUUCCAUUUUCUAUUAUCAAAAGGAUUUAGCUUAGGUCUUCUAUUAUUAUUUGCACUCAAAGUUACAUUUUCUAAUUUAUUUAGCAAGGAUGGUGGAAGUGAUGAAGAUGCGUUAUGUAAAACUUGGUUUAUUUCUGCUAUUUGUUCUUCAACUUGAUCUAAUUUUUCAGCUAGACUUAAAACUAAUUGGAUAAUCAAAUUAUUUUGCCUAAUGGGAAUAUUACUACUGGAUACUUGUGUUGAAAAAUCUGUUAAUCCUACUGGUUCUUUAUCUAAUUUACUAAUUUCUUUCAAAGCUUGAAUAUAUUUUCUGCUAGUUCUAGAAUCUGUCAUUAAACUAAUAAUUUGUCUAUUUUAUUAUGCAACUUAUCUACUUGUUCUCUCAACUCCUUUUGUACGAAUUGACUUUUUUGAACUUCUAAUUUUAGUUGUUCAACUAUUUCUAAUGACCUAAGUUCUACUUGCUUUGGCUUAUUAUCUAUGAGGUCAACAAGCUCUUUUAUCUCUCUUUUGCUAGGAAACCUUUGAAUAUUUUUAUUAUUAUCUUCUAACUGAGAUGUAAUAUAAUCUAAAUUUUGUCUAAUUAUCUUUAUGGAAUUUUUCUGAAAAUGUUCUAACAACUGGUUUAACAAAUGAUUAUGCUUAUUAUUUUCUAAUUUUAUAUUUUCUGCUUGACUAAUAAUAAGAUCUAUAAUACUAUUGGCUUGCGGAUUUUCUUCACUGUGCAAAAUAUGAUUAUGCUUUCUUGAUGGAAAAUAACAAACUAAACUAUUUUGGUCUAAAGUUAUUUUUCUUUUUUGGGGUUCACUAAUUUCUAAAUUAAGAUAAUCUAUCAUAUACUAUAGUCUACCUUUCUCUAAAGUUACAACUAAUUGGUUUCUUAGAACCUCUCUUUCUUCUCUCAGGGCCUCUAAAACUUGGUCAGUUACUCUUUUUGCUUCUAAAACUUUAUGAUGCACUUCAGUGUUAUUAUAUUUACUAAUAAAUGAAGGAUGUUCAAGAUAACCAAGAUAAAACUUUUGCUUCUUCAAGGUCCUGCUAAUUCUUUUGGAUAUAAAUGAUAAUCUUCUCUUUAUGCUAUUUAUAGUUGGAUGUCUAGGACAAUAAAUACCUGGUAAUUGUGGUUGACAAGGUCUACAGGGACAAUAAUAUCUGUUAUUCAUACAAAAUAAACAAGUGCGAUAUCAGUUGCUUUAAUGACUUCCGUCCUCAAGGUACUUUACUAUUAUAAUCAUAUUAUUAAAAUGCUAAACUUGGCUCUGAUACCAAAUUCGAAAAGCAUGCACGGUUAAAUAGUCAGAUGACCAUUAUAACAACUAGACAUAGAACCUUGCACAUGGAACUCGACAUGUUUCAGCAUGACGGCCACUCACAGUACAAUUAUAAGGCCUUAACGGCUGAACUCAGAGGUACAAAGAACUCAGAGGUACCCUGGUUAAUGUCUAGUUAUUUGUAUGGCAAGUAUUCAACUAUAACAGAGUGCUCGAACAAAGUAUGAUCGUCAGUUUAGCAGAUUAAUAAUAUAAUCACAAUAGUGUUUCCCUGUUUUGCACUAGAAGUCUAAUUAAACAAACACACUAAAGAAGGAAAAGAAAACUUACUUAAGACUUGAAGAUUGCUUGAAUAUGUACACUUGAACUUUUAUUGAUAUAUGGAAUGUUUACAGAGAUGGUUGUUUACAAGAAAGUGAUUACAAAGAAGUGUUUACAAGGAUGCUAUGAAGACUACGAAUGCUUGAGUGUAUGGUGUUUUCAGAUAUUGAGAUAUGUGUGUGGUAUUCAGGUGUUGAAAGAGGUCGUCUGUAUGGGAGGAAAGACUCCCUUAUAUACAAAAUCUAAAUCUUUAAAAUAACAUUUCAUCUAUUUACAAUUUUCUGAAUAGUGACAGCACACUGUUUCUGAAAACUGUCAGCACUGUUUCUGAAAGCUGGCUAUCUUGUCUUUGCUUGAAUGUCAUGUGAAUUUAUGUUGUCUUGGUUGCUGCAGAGUUUGCCACAUUUUCUUUUGCAUGUGAAUCUGUAUUGUCUUGGUUGUUACAUGUUUGCCACAUAUUCUUUUGCAUGGAAAUGUUUUCUGAAAAUGUCAAUCUCCUUUUUCUUCUUUUGGAUGUAUGCACUUGAACUUUGCAGAAAACUGACCCAAUCUUGUACAUAUGUGUGAAGGGUAGGAUUGGCAUUUUUGAAAAAAUCUGUCCUUAUGAUUAAAAGUAAAGUUUUGAGGGUGUUUUGGUUAGUUUUCCAAAAAAAAAAAUCCUAAUCUAAACAUCUGUAUACUAAAACCCCAUUUAAGCAGCCAUUAACAUCUGAUCCAGUACUUCAGCGACUCACUAACCCGCCAUACCGUCAUGUCUCAUCCCCUCUCCACCACUGACUAAACAAACUAAAGGUGCAAUUGGAUAACAAAUCCACUCAAUUUUAGCAACCUUGCUACAUACAUUAGCUUUGUUCAGCAUGAGACGAUAUAAGCAAAGGAAAAAGUCGAUGACAAGAGCGGCCAGCUCACUAUGAAAACUAAAACAUCAAGAUAGCAACGGCUUUAAAAGUGUAGAACCAGCAAAGAAGCAUCCGCUAAAAGAUCCUAUCAACAACAACAUAAAUGGCAUAAAAAAUAAGAGAGAAAAAAAAUCCCAGCACGAUAAGGUUAUUGCUAGGAAAAAUCAUUUAUCAGUAAGAUAGAAGUCUACCAAAAAGGUGCAAAGAAGAGUGUGAACAACAGUUUAUCCUUAAAAGAAUAUAAGGGUCAGCAAAAUACAUUUAUCAGCAAGAUAGAAGUUGACCAAAAAGGUGGAAAAACAGAGUAUUAACAACAGUUUAUCCUUAAAACGGUUAAAGGCUUAUCUGUUUACAUUAUUGCCCUUAUGACCGAACAAAAAAAGUUUACAUUGCCCUUAUCUUAUCUAAAGACCCACCCCUUCUCUAGACAUUUAAAACUCCAAAGGCCGUUGCGGCGGAGGCAAGCAAGAGCAACAAAACUCCAACCUUUUUCCAGCUAGCAAACAUGUGGAUGCCAUUGGAAAACCCCAAAAAGCGUUGUGAAAGUGUUUUAUCCAGCAUAACUUUUUCUUUCGGCGGAUUACUACGAUUUGCAGGUGGAUACAUAGUAUGGACCACCAAUUUGUUUCGGUUUGCACCCCUACCAUAAACACGCAAACCCAUCCUUGUUUUUUCUAUUUUCACUGAAUUCUUUGUACCAGGUCGCGGGGCAGUGUCAGAAUAUCUCACUAAUGUCCCUCGAUUUCGUUCAUCGUGUCGAGCCUUAACCAGUACCUUAAAUUUUUGACAAAAACUCCUCCUAGAAUCUGUUGUUCUCUUCGAUUGAUCUCUUGUACCAUUUUAUUUACCCUGAAUCAAAAUUUAAACAUAGCGUCAAUAUUUCUGUUUUUUUUGAAGUAUCUUUAAGCUUGUGAGUUGAAGUAUAACACCAUGAAAAACUUAACAACUCACAUUAAUAAAGUAAAAAUAUAAGAUUACCAAAAGUUACAUAUAAAUUAAAAAAAAACACAAUCAAAAAGCAUUUUGACAGUGUUUUAGAUCAAAUUUUGAAGUUUUAGCCGAUAAAGAAAAUACAUAACUUAAGUAUUUAUGAGUUAACGAUACUUGUAGUUUUAAUGUUAAUAUCUAUGAAUUUUUCUAAACAUCUUAGUUGCAUUCAUGCAUUGUUAAAAGGUUACUCAUUUUCCUAAGUAUAGAAGUUGUGAAUUUUUUUUUUAAAAAUGUAUAGUUCGUUUUGAGAGCGCAGUUGUGAACAGCACAUAUUAAAGAAGUAUGUGACGACUGGUGAGUGUGUGUGUGUGUAUGUGUGUGUAGUGAAGCAUUCACUUGAGAUGCUUAAGAUAAUAUUCGAGCAAACUCUGGCCUCAAGGUUUUACUUACCUCAAACCUAGCCUUGAUCUUCUCUUAAUUCACUGUUUAUUAACAUGGCUAAAAUCAUUUUCAUUUGCAAAUGCAAUAUCAUAUUAAUUGUGCUGCUACGUCUACUCAUAUGUUCUAUGUAGCAUAUGAAUUCUACUCAAUACCCUAACAUUACAGUGAAAAUUAAUUGAUAUUAUAAAGAAGUUGAGACUUUACCAAAGCAGCAAGGCAGCGGUUGCAAAAUUCAAAGGCUAAAGCUUUCACUUUGUUUCGAUUUGCAAAAUACCAAAAAAGAUAUUUACAAUCGAGGAAAGAAAACACAUUUCACUAAAGAAUGCACUUCAGCCAUUAUCAAAUUGUCAACCGAGCGAAACGCAUAAAACCAUACACAUAUACACAGCUGAAUUCUAUUCUUUUCAGCAGUUCCUGGUAAAAAAACCAAACCCCCUACAGAAAAUCAACAAAAACAAACCCUGGUCGUAUGACUCUUAGGCCUAGUCAAAUGAUCCUAUUCCAUAUCCAAAUGGGUUUUCUUAAAAAAACCAAUCUCUCAGUUAUCCUUUUCUUUUCUUCUUUCAAAAGUCAAAUCAAGACCAAAGUUUCACAGAUAAUGUAUACCCAGAAAAAUAAAAAGCAAAAUUAAUGUAUUUCAGAAAUGGACAUCGGGUCGAUGUUGAACCUUUAAAAUCUGUAAACCCAGCGAAUCAAAUGAGUAAAGAAAAAGAAAUCGAAAUCCUACUGUUCUGAAUUCAUUCUUCUGUUUGCUAAUCUAAAGAUGAAGGGAAAGUUAUCAUAGUUUCACUAUGCAAGAUUUCUUUAUGCCAGAUUUCAUUUGCAGGCACCAAAACACGCGCAAAAUUAAAGUUGGGGUCUUCAUACUCUAUUGGGUAUCUGAAGUCAUGUGAAAGCUCGGAAAUAACCAAACCAACAUCCAAUUUAGUACACACCUAAGAAAAACUUAAGCAAGAAAAUAUAUCCAACUGCUCAAUCAAUAAUCAAACACAGUAAUACAAUCAUUGAAAAAGUCUCAAUCCUUUAUCAAAAUUGAAUUAAUAAAAUUGAAUGUUGGGGUCAAAAUAAAAAAAAAGUAAUUUAAUUAUAGUUAACUAAUCAAGGUUAAGAUUAAUCAAAAAGCUUGAAAGUAUCAUAUCUAAAAUUACACCUCAGGCUGCAAGUAGAAUCAAAACCAUGGAAGAUCAAAACCACUAACCUUAAACACAGAGGUCUUCGUAGGCUUCAAAGAAAAGUCACCAACUCGAAAAACCCGAUCUCCUGAAAUCGAAAACAAAAUCAUAUUAACCAUCAUCACCCAGAAUCCAAAGCUCAACAGCUUGAAUCAAUUUCCAUACAUGAGUUCAUUACAUGCACAAAUGCAGCGUUUGGUGUGUGAGAAAAACAAAAGAAAACCCUUUUGAAAAGGUUUUCUUUCAUUGAACAGAAAGAUGAAAGUAACAUUUCACCACGACUAUGUUAAUUGAAUACAAAUUUUUUUUUGUGAUUAUUAAUUUAGUAUGGAUAAGGAUUAAGGGUGGCUAGUACAUGCAAACUUUCAAGCAUGACUUUGUUGUCGGAGAGGUUAUGUCAUGAAACCAAGUUUUAGUUUUAUAGAUUAUGCCAUGCAACCAAGUUUUAGAAAUACGUUAAGCACACAAAAAAAAUAAAAAAAUCUAACCUGUUCUCAACCUUGGGCCUAGUGCUAUAUCGUUUCAACAUUCAAAAAAUAUCGGUAAGGAUCUGAGUCGGAACAUAAGUGCUUACAAACUGUCUAUUGGUAGUAAGUUUUUGCGACACUGAGUUGAAGGCCUAAUGAAAGAUUCUGAACUAUUUUUGCAUAUGAAAGCAAUAAAACAGUUGUUGGAUGAUCAUCAUAUAGGGCCAUGGCUAGCUCCCCACUAUAUGUAUAUGCAGAGAACAGAAAAGGAGGCCAAGAUGUUAACCUUGAAACUCACCCCUAAACCUGCUUCUUUAAAUACAUUCCUUUGGUUUCACUCGUACUCAAAAACCGCAAAAGAUGUUUCCCCAAAAAUAAAACACAUCUCUCACUAAGUCUUGAUCAUACUGUUUCCACACACCCUUUCAUAUUAUUCUCCCUUCAAAACCUUUAUCUACCACUCUACCCUCUCCACAGCCAUGAGCUUCCCUAUUAGAUGAUAGGUUUGAGUUCGACCCUGAGGAGUGCAGUAUUGAGAACGGCAAGUGGGUGUUCAAAACCAAGAUUUUAAAAAGCAAUCUAUCAACAGAUGAGCAAAACAAUAACUAAAAGAGCCUUCUAACACCCUUAUCACAUAAAUACAGAAGCAACAAAGUACGGAGAAACAAUCUAGUAACAGAAAUACAUAAGCAACCAAGAUUUGCAAAAACAAUCUAUCAACAGAGGAGCAAAACAACAACUAAAACAGCCUUCUAACACCCUUAUCACAAAAAUAUAGAAGCAACAAAGUAUGGAGAAACAACCUAGUAACAGAGAGAUAUUCAAAGGAUGUAAAGCAGAAAGGAACCUCAGUUUGAUUUGUUGAGAAGGAAACAGGAGCAAAGCAUGAAGAAACACAGAAAUGAGCAGAGUGUAACUCCCAAAGUUAUAAAGACACAAACCUGACUCUAACAGUGCACGAAACAGUGCACUAACCAGAUUGAUCUUCCUAACACCCAACUAAACGGGCUAUAAAAUUCCUUUACAACUUGAUUGAAACUAUAAAAUGUUAAUCACAGUUUUAACAAAGCAAAUGGCAAACCAAACAAUAAACAAUGAUUAAAAACAGUGUUUGAGCUGUUGAAUCAGAGUACAAAACCUCUAAAUAUCCCUGCCACUCAAUCAAAUCAUGCUUUCUGCCCUCUCUGUCUCACUCUCCAUCCUUCUUUAAAAACAUUGGACAAAAUCCAUAAAUCUCUCCCACAACCCCAGAAACUGCAUGCAACCAUGUCUUCCCCAUUAAUUGUUGCAGAAAUGGCAUCCAGCUGGAUCCAAAAUCCCGAAAGGAACCCUACCCCUAGCCCUCCCCACUCGCCUCGCCGUCUCUCUGCGCACCCUUUGCUGUCGACUCUUAAAACCAAACUCUCAGGCACCCCUACCCUUGAUUCGCUCAUCCUACCCCUCUCUCUCUCCUCCCGUCUUUCCUCACAUCCCGUUUGAAACGCACGACUCUUCUCUCUCUCCUCUUCUCUCACCCACGACUCUUCCAUCUCUACUCUACUCUCUGCCAUUCUGCAAGCUACACUGGAUGACUCACGGCAUUCACCUCACCGCAUUCCUAUCCCUACCGAAACCAACCAAAUAAACCCAGCAGCCACAGGCCAAACCAGCAAAAGGCCAUCUGCCCAAACCCAAAAAAAAUCCCCCAGGCCGAACCCAAAACUUCCACAAAGCCCACUCAUUAAACCAAUGGUAUGGUUGUAAUUAAACUGAAAUUCAGGUGCAUGAACAGUAAGGAACAGUGACAAUUCCAAUGCUUUCUUUAGACUAAAGUAAUUCACUACAAAAUAUUAGAUGGAAGGAUAUGAAAGACUAGAUGCAAUGCAUCGAGAAUGAUUUGUAAAUGACAGCUUGAAAGGAGACAUUUAAAAAUACUUUGUUUAUGUGUGUAAUGAUCAUGUAGUGCAUUUCAAUAUCUAUGUCUACUGCUUUGUAGAUUUUUUUUUUUUUUUUUUUGAGAAGAAACAAUAUUAUUAAACAAAGUGAGAGAACUAGGAGUUUUAGCAUACAUAAGUCACAAGUCGUGUUAUCUGUCGACGUGAUAACAAAAGUCCCUCACCUCCACUAUAAGGGCUUGUGACAUCAUUAUGUGUGCAUUAUCAGAUUCCUUGCUUUUCUGUCUAUGAUAACCUCUGGGAAGACUAUGAAGACCCUGACAACAGAAUAUCUCCGCAUCAAAAUCCAAAAAGCCCCAUCAGCGAAGCAUUUUCAAAAUUUCAGACUAUAUGAGCACAAGCAUUGCAGGUGAUCCGGAACAAUGUGUCAAAACCUGUUAGCGACGUCUACAUUAAACUCCCGAAAACAAUGGUCGUAUUGUAGGGUCCUCACAGAACAACCUUGAUAACACAAACAAGUAAGGCAGACUGUGCUGCCCUUGAAUAGAAUACCAAGUAUCCUUACAUAUAUGCACAUAUCUUAGAUUAGUUUAUGUAGAAAGUAUAUUCAUUUCGGACAAAGUACCUGUCGAUUGAUCUAUCAAUAAAGUUAGCAGCAUGUGCUGCCCUUCAAGAACAAAUUCCCUGGUUGAUCCUGCUGAAAUGGCCAGAAUAAGUUACUUUCAAAAUACGAGGACCUGUAAAUAAUCUUGAAUGUAAGAUAGAUCUAUCAAUUAAAAGGAUACAUUUAUAAAUACUUUGUUUAUGUGUGUAAUGAUCAUGUAGUGCAUUUUAAAUGUCUAUAUCUAAUGUUUUGUUGAUUUCUAACAAAUUUAUCCUAAAUUGCUUGGUACUAUCAAACCCUUCAUCCAAACAUAGGGUGAGAGAACUAGGAGUUUUAGCAUACACAACUCACUGCCAUAGGACAAUACAAAUUAAGGCAAAACAAAUAGAUGUCAAAAUCCAAAAUGCC